rnacentral:lncRNA from 1 species
UUUUUUUUUUUUUUUUUUGUCGACGGAGUGGGGUGUCCGGGUCAAGUCCGUAAAGGCGGCCCGACUAAUCCCCACUCCGGCCCGGCCCAGCGCCCCAACCAGACCUAGCACGUUAAAUGCACGGCGAACUGAUGUUGCUGCGGAGGUUCGACCCCAGGACCUAACGGUCCCGAGGAGGAGGCGCCAACCACCAGCCCAUUCACCGUUAAAUAGGAGCUCUAGAUUGAGUUAUUACGUUGUAACAUAUUCUAUACUGGUAAAUGCUAGCAUGUCAAGAAUGGUAUAGCAAGUUUAACACCAAAGUCCAAACUAUAAAGACCAAGUUCAACUGCCUCCUUAAAGGUAUGUAACUUAGUAGAAGCCUGCCACAUAAUUGUUGCAUGCGGCACAAUUGGUUGUGCAUUGUGGAUUAUUGCAUUUGCCAUUGUCUCCAUUUCGGUGCUUAAAAGUAAUAUAAAGCUUGGAUUAUUAUACUGCAAUACUGUGUUGGGAAUUCUCGUGUCCUAAUCACAAUUAAUUAACUCCAUCAUUGUCUGAACAACUGUUAUCACAUAUAUUCACCCAAGAUCUACGAUUGCCCUUUCUUCUUCUUCCUUUUUCUACCUUUCUUCGAUUAUGGAAGUUAAAUAUUUUUUGCUAUCAGAAUUCAAUAAAUUAUUUUCUCAUACCUUACAAGUUGACGAAUCUGUUAUUUUCUCCUCUGUACUCUAUUUCACACUUGAUUACAUACUUUAGAUGUCAAACUCAUCCCACACAGUAUUUCUAAAACUUUUGACGUCAAAUUGAGAUGGAUUCUCACAUGUGGAUCCAUUCUCAUGUCUUAUAUUCAUUUGCAAUUUCAGAAAAAUUGAAAUGUAACCCCACUCACAGACACCGUAUUUCCGCGAUCCAUCCAUAAUACAUGAAAUUUUUGAGCUGUACCACCAAGAUAAUUCCCUCUACUCUUCACGGCUAUGGAGUUGAUUUCACCUCCAUGCCCGUUUGAGAAGUUUCCCUUUCUUCUUGGUCCAAAAUGAAAGAUUAUGUCCUACUGCAGCUAUUGAGUAGCUAUUCCAGCUUUUUUAUCCCUAAGUAGCAAACAUGUGUAAAAUAUUCGCCCGGGGGGGGGGGGGGUGGAGGAGGGGGAGGACAAGUACAAAAAAAAAACAUGUGUUUAUCCAUUUAACAAAAAAAAGAAGCAAAAAGAAAAAAAGAAAAAAAAAACUAUGACACACUUCGACAGAAAUUGAACAAGCAAUUCUUUAAUAAUCAACUUCAUGGUUAAUUGAUCUACAUGCCAAUUUUGUGAUAUAUGAGAAUCAAUUUACAGGCAAUUGCCCCAAAAGAAAUAAACAAGCUAACCUAGAUUAAUACAUAAUACAAUCUUCAGUUAAAUAAUCACAAAAACCUAACCUUUGCAAAUAAACUAAGAUAAUCACAACUCACGUGCCCUUGAGACAACUAAGUUCGACACAAGCUACAAAUCUCAUGAUUAAGCUUUUAAGAUCAUUUUCAGUUUUUCAUAAUGAACAAUAUCCCAUGGAAAACUUCCUUUUUUUAAAAAAAAAGUGGGAGGAGAGUAAGCAAUUCAAACCUUUCUUCUUUUCUGUUUCUUUUUUAAUUUCAUUUCGGUAGCAGCAAUCAAAGUUGGCUUUUCCUUCUCUUCCCAAAUCUCAAAACAUGUAAAUUUUUGUUUUUUUAACUGCCAUAGACACUAUCAAAAUCUCCAUAUCUAUAUAUAAAAUUGUACUUUUUCCCUGACACUUAAAUAAAAUUACCCCCACUAUUUGCCUCCAUUACCCCUACUAAAAUCUCCGUCUCUAUAUAUAAAAUUAUAGUUUUGCCCUCACACUUAAACAAAGUUGGCCCCACUAUCUCUCAACAAAAUUUAAGUAGUAGAGAAUUGUCCCCACCAAAAUCUCUAUAUAUGCAUGAAAUUAUAGGUUUAUCCCCACACUUACAUGAAAUUACCCUCACUACCCUUCAACAAAAUCCAAAGUUGUAGUGUAUAUAAUCUUUAUUAUUGGUUAUUUCAAUAAGUAUAUAAAUACUAUAUUGAUUUGUUAUUUUUUUUCAACAUAUAUUUUUUUUAUCAUUGUAUGUAAGAAGAAUACCAUUCAUAUUUAUAGAAUAAGGAGAUACUGUUUCUAAGAAAUUAGUUGCUAACAUUAUUUCCAAAAUCUCAUUAAAUCCUUCAUUUUUAACUAGAAGUCUAAUAGGAAUUCGAUUGCCAGUUAAUUCUAUUUCUGUUUCUACAGCCUCUCUCUUAUUUCAUGGGUUUCUCCAUUAAAAUUAGUAUAUUGAUAAGGAUCUUAUAAUUGAUAAAUAGGUAAGUACUCAACCAAUCUAUAAGAUAUAUAAUUCCCAUUAGCACUUGUAUCUAUCAAAAUAUUAUAGUUCUUCAUAUUUUUUUCCCAUCCCAAUAUCUAGUUUUUAUUUUAUAAUUUGUCAUUAUUUUACGGUUACAACUAUACACUUUGUUAUAUGUCUCUAUAGUCAAACAAUUUAACAAUAUUUAAAAUAAAUGACACCACCUUCUCUAAACAAGGAAAAAGAUUCAAUUUGCAUUUAUUCUUCUUCUUUAUCUAUUCCAAUGUGCUCCCAGUACACAAACCUAUUUGAAAAGAACUCACAAACAUUGUUCAUUUUUUAUUUCAUCUUAACAAAAAUCUAGAGGAAAUUUAUUAGGGUUGUGAGAGGAGAAGGGGAAGAAUCCUUUAUUAGGAAUUUGCAAUUUGACAGAUAUUUGUGUCAUAUUGUUAACUUUUGGUGUACAUUGUUAGUUAAACAUAUUUUUUUAUAUUGUAAUUAGUAAAGUUUCAUAUACUAGCUUUGUCCCCACUGAAUUUCCUUUCUAGCUCCACCCCUGAAAGUACAUUGAAAAGUAGUAAAAAAUAUACGCACUUGCCAAGAAAGUCCCACACUAUUUGUUUAAAUGUUUGUCUGAAUCAUUUCAAAUCUAUGAGAUUCUGUCUGUAUUCUGUCUGUCUGAAUCAUUUCAAAUCCAUGAUAUUCUCAUUCUAUGGAUUCUGUGUUGUGCUAAUUUUCAUGAACAUCAAGAUUCAAGGGUCGAGUCCAAAUAGCCGCGUAUGCAAUUAUGUACUCAGCGGAGUACCCAUAAUUACAAAUGGACUUUUGGCUUUUCUACUUUAGUCAAAAAGACAAAGUAAUAGUCGUACCAAUUUGGGUCUGAACACAUAAAGGUUUGAGGGAUGUAAUUAGAAAAAUACCACUUACAUCUCAAAUGAUCAAUUCAUGACAAACAAUAAAAGAAAAAGGGGGACUAAAUAAAUUGCAAACGUUUGACGAUCCCCGUGUUGGUUUUAUAUUUGAGUCUUCCAUGGUUCUUCUCAAAGGAAAAAGGUAAAACACACCAACGACCAGUAGAGGAAGAAGGGCACAACAGUAAUAUUGGACAUCAUCAAAAAAGCAAAGGAUUUCUCCUUACAUUUCAUGUUAGUUUAUCUCUGUGUUCUUGUUUCAGUUGGUAUUCUUACAUGAGGUAAAAUAGUCAUUUUAUGUUAGCUGGAUUAGGAAAGGGGGCUAAGUGAUGAAAAAAUUAUCACCAGAAGCUAAUAUUAGUUUGAUUGCAUACCUUAAUUUCAAUGUUAUAUGCAUGACUCCAUUUACAUGUUUGGUGUACAGCAGCAAUGUAUGCCAAACCAGCAAUACACAUAAGUUUCAGGUCUUCUACCAAUUACCAGUCCUUGAGCAGCUCCCCAGCCACAUCCUUAUAACUAACCUUCCUUUUCUUUUCUGGCUUUGGGUUAGGAUCCAGAGAGGAUCCUUCAUCUGCAAAAGCAGGAUCUGUGCCCCUGGUCUUUUGGCUUUCUAUUGGUAACGUUUCAUCUCGAAUGACCCGAUCCUCACUUUUAGCCUUACUAUUUCCAAGGCUUGGAAUCAUGUGCAUUAACAUGGCUUGAACAGGAUCAACCAUCUGCUCUAGCUUCUCAUUCCCUUCAGUACCAUUUCUGUUGCCUGAUACCAUUCCAUUAUCUUCAACAACUCUUAUCCCAUCUCCGCUUUGAUCUUCAGGAUAUUGUUCAAUUGUUUUCCCUUUUUGUGAUAAUUCACUAUCUUCUAUCAUCAGAUGCUCUUUUGUUGGACUCUGCUUGCCAAUCAACCCACCGCUUUCACUAUUUCCUGUUUGGACAACAGAUUCUUCCUGAAAGGUCAAAUUAGCUGAAGAGCCACUUCCAUCUGAUUCAUCUUCAUUUAUUUUUGCAGGCUUUCCUCCACGUGCUCUUACCCUUCGUGGCUGGUUGACCACAGUUUUCCCUCUAGUUGUUUUGGUUCCACUGGAUCUUCCUCUUUUUGUCCUUCUUUCUUUCUUAGGCAAGGUAACAACUCUAGGUUUGUUGGUUGUAGCUUGACGAAUUGUCGUAGUUCCAUGUUCUUUAGAUACUGGUGUAUUAUGCUCUUCUGCCUUAUCCAAACUAGACCACUUGUCCAGAUUCAGCUCACUGCAGGGCCAGCACCAUAAUGUUUUAAAUUAGUAACAGCGAAAUUCUAAAACUGAUGCAGAUAAGGGUGGAUUUCUUGGCUGAAAAAUGAAACAUAAAUCAUUCUUAGGAGAGUACAUUAGCAAUGGGGACAAUUGGCAAUAAGCACCAUAAGGCUUUUCAAAGGAACGUUUACACUCAGCUACACAACCGAGAAUAAAGACAGAAGUGUAAUGCAUCUUCUAUAGUUGAUGACUUGAUGAAUGCUACAAAAGUAAAUAAUCAUGUCUAUCUCUAAAAGAACUUCCCAUUUUGGAUGGGUAUUUAUGGUUCGAAAUGUUUUGAAUCAAGCACCAAGGUAACUCAAUUUCCUUCAACUGAUACUGAUGUGUGGGAUAAUCAAAACAAGAUUCGCUGAAAGAUAAAAACUAAAUUUAACCAAAAGCGUGACAAGAGAAUUACGAAAAACUGCUAUUUCUGAAUUAGCAGAACCUAUAAAUGCAGCACUCCCUUAGCUAGGCCAAUGCAGCAAAUACCAGCCUUAUCUUUGUUAGACUCGCAGUGUCAUACACCAAAGCAAUAGUCAGCUUAUAUGGGAUCACAAACACUGAAAAGGUUCAAUACUUAGAAGUGCAACAGUAGGAAUAAUCAAAUUGCCCCAUAAACUUCCCAUUUUUUCACGUCAGUGACUUAGAACAGUGAAAACCAGAAGCAGCAGAAAAGUCCAUAACCCAACACCACAUUUGGACCUGUAUCCUAUAUGCAGUGAAACAAAUAGUAAAAGCUCUGAAGGAAGUCAAGGAAAUAAGGAGCCCCAAAUCCCUCCUGUUGAAACCCAAAAAAAGAAAGGAAAAAAAGACACCAGGAAACUUCAAACAAAAAGAUGCAAUUCUCUUAGAUAUCAUGAUAAGAACAUUUCUUCCCCUCAGUUCACUAAAAAACUGACAGUGGUAAUCAAACACAUUAAAAUUAACAGCUGUGCUGCUUUUUCUGUAUAACAAUUCUACUAUAUCUUUUGAGUUCAGAUAAUUUUUCCAACAUAGAAAUAUAUUUACACUUAGCUCCACAAUGAUCUAAUGCAGCCUAUGCAAUGUUGUGACAACAACCUUUUCAAAAAACCAUCUAAUCUUUCAUUUUCUCUGUUGCCAUCAAUGCAGAAACAGCCAUGCUUGCACAUAUAUGACCCAUAAAGUCUUGCUUCAGGCAAAUUUUUUUUUUUUUUUUUUUUUUUGAAAGAUUCAGGCAAGUUUCUAUAUAAGCCUCUUAACAACAAAAACAAUGAAAACAUUUGAUUUAGGUAUUCAUAUUCUGGUUUCAGGAAAGAAAAUAUUCUUUUGGGGCCAAAUAAAGAAAACUCAUGUCUCCAUUUGUCCAGGGAAAGAAGAAAAUUUAAAAAAAGUACAUAAAAUAUAUCCAGAAGUAAAUAUUUUAUAAUUAGCAGUGUAAAGCAAUAUAAAGAUCUCUAGCCAACCAUCAAUUGUUUUUCGUCAUUCUUGCAAAAACUUUCCAAAAGCUUUUUUUUUUUGAACCACAAAUUGCAAAAAAGUGAUAAGGUAAGAGGUUGCAGUAUUUAUGUCAUGCAUUUCCACAUGGUAUAGUUCUAGUCGACCUAAAAAUUGUUAUAUGUUAUUAGGUCCUGAACAACUAAUUAGCUUUUCAAAUAUAGUUAGAAACAUGCUAUGGAUAUUACCAAAUAGACUGAACAGCCAUUUUGCAUGAGGCUUAGUAUGUUUUUGAAUAAAAUAUUACCUCAUAGCAAUCACAAGAUUCGAAAUGUUGAUGGAGGAAAAAAGUUACCUCUAUAACAUGAAUGAAGUUAAAGCAUAUUGUUAUAGAACUAUUUAUCCUUACUUCGAUGGCCAAGCUGUCCAUCACAUGCAAGUACAACCAAUAACCAUUUACAUCAUCUCAAAUUUCUAUUGAUUUAGAGCAUCAAAGCAACAAUAGUGAGGCCCUUGCUAAUUCAGCAAAAAAAAUAUGCAGCACAUAUGCAGCACAUAGUAAAUAUAUGUAAACCACUUACCUCUCCAAUACCCAUUCUUGCAUGUUGGGCUUCAGACUGUAACUCUCCUCUGACAAUUUCUGGUCCUUCUCAAUGCAGUCCUCCAACCACUGAGAAGAAACAACAUGCAACCCUUGACUAAGUAGAAGAUGCUUCUCAGCUGAUAAUCUGACCAUCAUAAAAAGUAGGAGAAUUAUUAUAUUUUAUCCAAGAUAGCACCAACACAUAACUAAAAAUAGGCAAUAAAUGGAGCCUUGUCAACAAUACAUACUUGAAUUUGCUCAGAAAUGUUAUAAGAGCUAAAGAGGCCACUUUAUAAUUGGUGAACAUUGCAAGCAUAAUUUACACUCCCUCCGUCCCAUUGAAAGUAUUAUGCUUUCUACUUUGGUUUGUCCCAAAAUAUUGUCACCUUACCAAAAAUAACAAAGAAAUUUGUCAUCUAUUUCUUAGCUCUACCCUUGCAUAAAAAUAUUAGUUUCUUACAAAUUGUGGGUCCGAACAAGACUUUUACAAGCAAAACAAGAGACACAAAUUUGGUGCAUGAUAUACAACUCAUGCUAAUGAAUGGAGCGUGUGUUUCACCAAACCAAGAAAAGUUUUGAGCCUUUUGAUUAGGUGUGGGCCAUGUCUUUUCAUUGUCUCCACACCAUAAAUAUAGGAAUGCAUCAGACACACUUUAACCAUGCAUCUCAGGGACAAAGUGGGAACACAAGAGUGCAAUAUUCUAUUGUUUCCAAAGCAUGACAACCAAUAUUAGUUUUAAUCAAUCAACUCCAAUCAAUCUUAUUCUUUGGAAACUAACAUUCUCAGAUUUUUGCUAGCAUUUUACCCCUCAGUAACAGAUACUCUUAUUAAGGCAAUCCAGAAAACUUACCAUCCAUUCACCAAUUAGAUCAAAGCCAAGAUGUUAAUGGUGAUAGACCUUACUUUGGAUUCCAAUUAAAGCAGCUAAUUCCAAAAACCCAACUAUCACUUGUAAUUAAUUUCACACAUUCCUGGAUUUGGUUGUUACCAAAAAACCCAACUAUCACUUGUGAUUAAUUUCACACAUCCCUGGAUUUGGAAAUGACAAAGCAUUGUUACAGUUGCAAAACUGGAAAUCUCAGCAACUGGGACAGACGACAAUAUAACAGUUUAUAAAAUUGUAUAAAUUAGAGAAUAUAUUAUUUUUCUAGCUUACCUACUAAAUAGCAAAUUGAAGUCCAAAGUUAAUUCUGGCCCAGACAAGACGAUUACAUGGGUAGCAUGAGAAAGAUCAUCACUAAUUCUGCCACCACCAAAAGAAACUGCAACCUUCAAUCUCCUCAGUGCAAGUUCCACUAGGACUUUCCACUCCAAGUUAAUUCUAGACACAUGUACUGAGAGAUUAAAUCCACAUCAACUACAAUUUCCACAUCAUUCUUGAAUUAUAUAAAAAAUGGAAGCAUCUUACAUAGACUGCGCUGGAAAGUAAAAGUAAAAGCAGCAACCAAGAAAACGAGCCCAUUCCUCCUUUGGACAAUAUUUCUUUUUGUAAUAGUCAAUCCUUUUCGGAUGCUCUCUUCGAUCAAUGUUGCUCAAAAGCUUCAAAACAGAAUAAAUCAAGAAACUGAUUAGUGACAACAAUGGUAACUGGGACCCAUGAUGUUGCUAAAGCAUUGAAGACUGCAUUACUAGCCUUUUCAUAUUUUUCCACAAGAGUUGGGAGCUAUAGUCCAUAGAAGGCUUAAAAAAGACAAACUUCAAUUGAUGAUACCUGUCUGAGAUCUGUAAUAUCAACAUCCACAUAGUAAGAGUCAGAGAAUUGGUCAAUUUCUUCUUCCAACUUUCUCUUCGUGCGUUCAGAAAGAUAAAGAAAGUACCUUUUAAGGAUAAAAAUAAACAGUUAAAAUGUAGCAUAAUGACUGACAUAAAUACAAACUUAAGAGUUGAAAGCUAACUUUGGCUGUAAGGGAAGGAGCUUCUUCUGCAAACAGCAAUCGAGAAGCCAAGAAUAAUGAAUAACAUCACCAUGAAGCUUUGCUGCCUGAAACUUGAUUCCUGCAACACAUUUCUAUUCAACGUAAAACUUGCAAUGUUUGUAGGUACGAAAGUAAGAGAGAGGAAGAGAGAGAACCUCUACUUUCAGCUGCAAUACAGUGUGUGACCGAGUUAUUCAAAUUCAUUGAGAAAUUGCCCCCAUUCUCCACCACCAUUUUGUGCAACAGAUCCACGGAAUGAGAUGAAGGAACAUUAGCAAAGUCUUAUGGAUGUUAAGUAUGUCAAGAAAUCAGCCGCUUAGGAAUUUCACAUAACAAAAAGCCCUGAUGCUUCAAAUGGUUUACCAGUAUUCCCAGAACUUAGGCAGACGAAUUCUAAUUGACCAACAAAAUUCACAAGAUAUCCGCUAUAGAAAUUCAUGUGAAUUUUGUAUAGCAGAAAUGCAAUUUCUGAUGCCUCAUCCACCAAAUGAUGGGAGAAAACAUUCUAGGCAAGAUGAACUUCAGAAGCAAUUUGUAAUGUUAAGUGCUCUAAAACAGAAAAGGCAGUCCAAAAUACCUUAUCAACUAGCAUGGAGAAACAAGAAGCAAAAUAAAAGAUGACAUAUUACGCUAGUAUGUGAAAUGGGUGCAUAAGUUAGGCCAUGCUUUGGUCAAGAAACUAAAUAAUUGUCAGAAGUAAAUGAUGAAGGAUACAGAACAUCAUUUUUGCAAAUAUAAGCGUUUCACUCUUUACAGUGGAAACAUCAGUCUGGAUGAAAUGAGAAGGAACAACUGAAAGAUUCUUCUCCCCUUUUUUGGCUGACUUCAUGCGCUUGGGUUUAUGAUCCUGUGAAUCUCCAUAAGCUUCCCCUCUUUGUGUGGUCCCGUUGCUGGAAUGAACUAACUCCACAAAAGCUACAAUUAAAAGUAUGAAAAUUUUGACAAAUGAGCAAAUGACAAACAUUUACGAUAAAAGAAACACGGACUUGACAAACUAGAAUAGAAACAAUUGAACAUUUAUUAUCUACUUACUAUGCACAUCAAGGCAUUCAUGCCAAGGCUUGUCAAAUCUUACUCGAUCAAUCCGUGGAAAUCUCAGGCUGUAUGGUGCAGCAAAUACCUUGAAAGAUAAGUCAUUCAUCAACCCCAUAACUUUCACUACUAUCUUUUGCAGGUUCACAAAUCAAUGCAAAUGCAUAAUCAACCUGCAUCUAUACAGCGUAUAAGCUACCUAAGAAAAUAAGGUUUUUGAAGUUAAUCUUCAUGUGUAAACCCCCAGAAGUUUCUUCUAAGGCUUCACCUUACAGUAUUAAAUCAUCCAUAUCAACCAUCUCAACAAGGCACCUCUCCUCUAUUCACCAUCAAUCAAGUACUUCAAGUAUUUCCAAACUUUCAGGUACAACAACUAACCUCUGUUUCUACCUCUUUUCUUUGUUAUAGCCACCAAAAAUCAGACAUCUGCUCAAUCUGUGCUACUUCUCUAGGAGAAGAAAACAUAAUUAACAAGAGCAGGCACAGGGUGGAGAUAGAAGGGGUUGUCGGCUAGUCAAUGGAUCUGGAAGUAUCUGAGGUUAGCGGUGUUCACAGGGGUUUGGGUUAUGGAGCAUCCUCAUCUGAAAAGAAUUGCUCUAAAAGGAUUUUAUCUUCUGCAAGGAUUUUAUGGGGCAUUAUUACCACAAAAAACACACACAAUAUCAAAAAGCAUCAAUAUGUGAUAUUGUAGUGUAAAUUUUAGCAGCCAACAGAAUAAAUACCUUAAGGAAAACAUUAAGACUCUAAUUUUCCUUCUUCUCUCUUGGUUCUUAUGUAUGUUUUUCCAACAUGACUGCCUACAUUGUCCUGGAUAAAUGUGACUUCUACAUGCCAACCAUUAUUUUUAACCACCAGAGCCCUUCUUGCAAUGAAAUAUGUGCCCAACUUGAAAAUUUCAACACUAUAGAAUUGCAAGGGAUAAGAACAACAGAAACAAGUUGCAGAAAUUUAAAAAAAAAAAAAUUCUCUAACUUCCCCCAAGAUCUAAUCAUAAAGGAGCAACUAAUAUGUAGACAAGAAAAUGAAAUAAAUAUAACCAAGGAAAUUACUAGCUUCUUACCUCAGAUUUUAUGGUCCGAAUAUCACUAGUAAUCGAAACAAUAACUGAUCUACAUGGUAUAAGGAAAGGUUUAGAAAAGAUCUACAUGAUAAGUGCCAGUUAUCAUCAUAAUUUGGUAUAAAAGUGUUUACUUCUCUGGACUUUCAAUCCAAACAUCUGGCCUCUCUUUCGAAUUAUUAGUAACUUGAUAAAAGCUUGGUGCCGCCUUCUUUGGGUAUUCAUAUUUCCUUCAAGAGGAGAUGUUGUGUUAGUGAGACCGUAUACAAAAAUUCAUAAACCUUUAAAUUAAAGAGUACAAGUCAAUUGCACCUGAAACAGUCCACUGCUAAUUAUUUUGCUAUUGAGUCCUCAUCCUCAAAUUGUGUAUUAUGAGAAAGUAACAGCAAAAAUGAUAAAGCAGACAACUUAUUGCAGGAAAUCUAAGUUCAAUGGCCUAACGAGAGUAAUUUCCAUCCAAGCAAGUUAGAAAAGAAACUUGGUCCAGGCAAAAUUAGCUGAAUAACAAAUUUGAACUUGCCACAGAAUCAUGCAACUGUAUCUUCACACAAUCAGUUGCUUUGCUUUUUAAAUUCGUGCUAAAAGCAUUGCAUGUACAAUUUAUUUUAGGGUGUCCUUACACGCUUUAGAUUCAAAGUCUAGGUAGAAAUUCUUAACUAUUCUCUUGUUAAUUGUUACAGAUUCCAAAUAUUUAAAGCUUCAGCAGAAAUGUGUUUUUCCUUUGAGGGUAGGUUCAAAAUUUUCAUGCUUUCAAAUAGUUUGAAGGGAUUCUGGACUCUCCUUAGGAGACAAAAUUUUUGUCAACCCAUUAAUUCUCACACAAACUUCCAAUUUUAAAAGAUAGAAAACAUUUAUGAAAUGCACAUGGACUUUUCAGCUCAAAGCAACCUUACCAUAAGCAUAUGAACCCAAAGAAUUUUAGGCAGGAUUCUUGUGACGAAUUUUAGUUAACUUUUUCACACAAAUUCCAGCAAAUACUCAGUUGUUGUUUUAGUCCAAGUACCCUAAUUUUCUGAACAUUAACAACGAUAACCAUCAGAAAAUGCUUUGGCAAUCAAAUUAAGAAUAUAACGCAGUGAGACAUGAGAAUCCAUUUUGAAAAGUUUUUCCUUCCCAUUUCAGCAAAGGUUUGCUGUGUCACAGGUUCACCACAAUCUUCAACCAUCAAAUAGCAAGUCAUGUAGUUUUGGCAUAGAAAUCUUAGGGGUUAAGAUCUUGUCAUUUAUAUAUUACCUGAAAUAAGGUUUUAAUUUUGUAACAACUAUAUCAAGCUCCUCAUCAGAAAGUCCCGUACCAACACGACAAAACGAAAUGAAUCUGCAGCAUAAAGCUAAAAUGAGAAUCUUUAACACUUAUUUUAUGUAGAUAAAGCAAAACUACUUCCGAUAGUACAAACAUCAGCAACACAUGACCAACAUCAACAGAUUAGACUUUAUGUGAGAAAGAAAUGCACCAAAACUUUGAUUUAAUUCAUUCAUAUUUUCAGCACCAUAACCAUGCAAAUCACCACUAUAACCAAGAAUUUUGCCAAACAGCUUUAAGUAACAGAAACAAGAAGUUUCUUUGCCAAAUUGGAUUAAAAUAUGGUGGAACUCUGUACGAAAACUAGCCAUUUUCGCCUCAUGCAUAUUUGUGACUCUCAAGUUGCUAUACAUCACAUGAACCCCUAUGACCCUUAAAUGCAGGUGAGAUUUAAAUGAUCAUCCAAAAAGGGCUAAUGUAUAAAGUUCAUUCAUUUAAUCAUAUGGAAAAGAAAUAUAUCACUUAAUCAAACAGGAAAAUGGAACAACAGAAGAUGUACUGAAAUCAUAAAGUUAAAACAAGCCAUGUGAAAAAAGUCCACAAAUGCUUAACAUCUUGAAAGAUGGUUAAAGGCAAGAUAGCAAACCAUGAACAGCAGAAAAUUGGAUCCAUAGGAAGGAAAACUGAAGCAUGGUGUUAAUUCAGCCUGAAAAAAUGACAGAAUUCUUACCGCCUAGGAUGGGUAUUUGGCAUUGGACGCUCUGCAAGUCCUACCAAAAACUGCGAUACCUUUAUGACAAAAUAACAUAGAAAGCAUAGUUUAGUAAUUAACCAAGAGAUUCAGAUGCAUCGAAGGGAUAGGCAGAAUCUUACUUCCCCUCCACGACGUCCAGAACCAUAGUAGCCUCCUAUUGAAAGGAAAUAAUAAAUCAUCUUCGUUAAACAAGACAUGAUUGCUUGCAUAAGCUGAACUUAGAAAGGAAUUACUUCUUACCUAUAAUGAGGACAUCUAAGUCAGAACCAGCUCUAACAUACUCGGGCUUCAACUUAAGCCACUUUCCACUCCGAUCACUUGGCUCCCAUUUGGAAGCAAGAUCUUUUAGGACGAUUCCUUCAUCCCUAAAUAGUCAAAAGAUCUUAUACAUUAGAAAGUGCAAGACACAGAAAGCUCGUUUCCAGACGAACUCCGAGAGAGAUAAACCAAAUACGAAAAAGCAUCAUCCAGGAUUUCCAUAUGUCUAGAGAUUCUAAGACUGAAGGAAGAAGUUAAAUCUGUUGAAACCAUAUGCUAAAUCCAAUAAAUGACCAUGUAACUUAUAACAAUCAACCUCACCUAGAUAAUAACCAAUACCAACAAUUACUUAUAUAUUUUUUUAAAAAACAGCGAACCGUUGAAUCACCCAGUUGAACCGGUUAACCCCCAAAACAGUUAACUGGUUUGCUUACCGGUCUGGUUCGCUUAUCUGUGACCAUAUGUUAAUCUUUACUCAAGUUAUCAUUCACUGUUCAGAUUCCUUUUCACUUUUCCUAGCCUUUCACAUUUAAUGUUCAUUUUUUCUAGCCUAUCACGUUUAAUGAUUAAGUUCCCGGUUGUAGCUGCCAGCAAUUUUGUUGUCUCUUGGACUCUCACUUCAACAUGAUGAAAUUUUCCUUGACACCCGCUCCAUCCUCAGCGUAACUUACAUUCAAUUAGUAAAUAUGGGCCUUCUCUUAAGCAUUUUUACAAGAAAUCUUGCUAAGUAUUAGUUUCUAUUUAGGGAAUGCAACUCUAACAUCCAUCUCGGAUGUUAUUAUAUGAAAAUACAUACAUGGAGUUCAUUACUUACAAAGGCUUCUCAAAGUAAAUUUUGAAGAUUUCGAAAUAUGAGAAUGAGACGAGUUGAUAAUUGGGGGUGGGGUGUAACUUCUGAUAAAUUUGUAAGAAGGUAUUUACUUACUAUUUACUAAAUCAGAAAAAUAAAAAACUUCAAACAGGAUUACCAAAAUACCCAAAAUCAGCCUUACACCACAACCACCUCCAUUGCACCACCACAACCACCACCUUCCUUCACAACAAAGCCACCUCAUAUUCCUUAAAAACCAGGGCUAGUUUUCCCGAAGAAAUAAGUGAGAAUUUUGGACCAUUAGCAGGGCAAAAUGGGACUAGGCAGGGGGCAAUCUUCCGAACAACAAUACAAUGAGGACAAGGACUUGAUUCUGAGCUGGACUGCACCGUGGGUGAUGCUGUUGAGAUUAUCCAGUAGAGAGAAGAAAAAGUAGCCAAGGUCGCACUGACCUCGGACUUUGACAAGCACAUCUCAAGAUGCUGGCCUCCAUGUUAUUGUUAAUUGUAGGUUCUCUAGAUCUAUAUGCAUGUUUGAGUUGUCAGUGUCUAAUCAGACUCUAUGAGUGGAUCUUUCAGAGUGAAAAGGAGAUUAGAGGGAAAAAGGGGUUGGGAAUUUUUUUUGGGGAACAGCAGGAGGCAGAAGCUGUUGCCCCGAUGAAAGCAGAAGAGCAAGGAAAACGCAGAUUUUAGGAAGAAAUGAGGCCCAUCAACUGUGGAAGAACGUUGGAUGCAUUCUUUUUGGUGGAGGAAGGCAUUGGUAAUGGCAGUGCCUGUAGUGGACUAAUGGUGGAAGGAGGCAUUCAUUUUGGCUACUUUGGUAAUUUUGUGUGGAAAUUAUUUAUUUUCACAAUUCAGCAAAAAUCAAUCAAUUCCCUUCUUACGUACUUCUCAAAAAUUACACCCACCCCAAAUUACAACUCUUACUAUUCCCAUAUCUCCAAUUCUCCCUAUAAUUUUUUUCCCAAUUGGAUACUAGCAAAUUCUAUCAUGUCAAGAGAUUACAUGUCGUGCUUUUUCCAUAGUCAUUCAACUUAAACAACACAAGAUCAAUUCAGUGUACUUUUGUCAAAUAGCAGAAUUAAUUUGUGUUAGUAUCGUAUUGCAAGCUUGCUACCAACUUCAAGCAGGGGUUUGACACUUUGACAGCAUUUAUAUCAACAAAAAGCUAACCAAUUCACACUUGAAAAUGCUACUCCGGACAAAGUGAUGGUCAAUACAUAAAUAAAUGACUAAACAAAUAAUGCCUUCCGCAAAAAAACAAUCAGCUUGUGGUUAGGCAUCAGGAAGUACCGUGUACGUGAAUCCCAGGGCUCACAAUAGCAUCAAACUAACAGCAAAAAUUGCCAAGAGUUGAUAGCAGAUGUCAAGCUUAUGUCUUGAAUCUAACUAUUUUUCAAACAAUUAAGUAUUUAAAUGCAAAAACAUUAUUAUUUAAAAAAAAAGGAAGACGAAAGCCACUGACCUAUUCUCGAUGGUGUCUUUAAAAAACUUCUCGACUUCGUCAAGGCUACGAGCUACAAAGGACCAACAUGGUUCACCUAUACAGCAUGAAAAAGAGCAGAAGAGAAAUCAAAAACUAGUGAACAGUUCCCAACUAAAGAAACAUUUUUGAAAGCUAACUGCUGCUCUCGAGGCAGUUGCUUUAAACUAAUCUAUACGAAACUUCCAUUUGAUGACGAGGAAUCCAAAUACAGGUGCCAAACUGCUUUCAUACUUAGUUCAGCCUCUUUUCUGUGAAUAAUUUUUUUAUUGCACUGCAACAACUUAAAUAAUCACAGAAAAAUAGUACUGAGAAAGAAUUUUUAAAAAAUAAAGAAAAAACUAAAGACUAAGAAGAAGCAAAAUUGUUGCAAUGAUCACUUGGAAAGGAAGACAGCCGCACUCUAUGACAUGUUAACCACCAUAGCUACUAAAUUCUAAGAAGAAGCAAAAUCGUUGCAAUGAUCACUUGGAAAGGAAGACAGCCGCACUCUAUGACAUGUUAACCACCAUAGCUACUAAAUUCUUACUUCUACUCAAUCUCCACAUAUCAGCCGACCAGGUGAAUUGUACCCUAGAUUAUAUAGCCAGAUGUGUUAUGAAAGCAGUACACCAAAUUACCACAUGUAUACUAGCAAAAGUCACCCUCUAGAUUUAUGCAGAGUCUUAACUAAUCGGCAGCCUAAAUUGGUGCAUAGCAACCACACAACAUGUAAAGGUUACAGUAAUUUCAAAUUAUUUAUAUGGAAAACUACCUGAAAAACAUUAAAACCCACUAUUGGUAGCUUCAAAGGAAACCUUGCCAACUGAAGAUGAAUCGAAAUCAUGAAAUAGGCAAAUAACUACUUUCAUAACUAUUUAUACAAGAAACUAGGAAGAGAUAUGAGUCAUCAUGCUGUGAUUACAGGUUACAAAACCAUGAAAGGAACAAGUGGAAGACUAAAACACAAGAACAUCAUUAUGCUUGGGGUAAAUCCUUGGCCACUUCCCUGUAGCAACCCCAGUUGGACCAGCAUUAUCAGCUUCAUACCAAAAAAGUUCAUAAACAAGCAAACAACACUCAACAAUGGCGUGAUGCAUGCUACAAAAGCAACAAUAUAUGGAAUGAAAUUUAAACUUUUACAUCCUUCUUGUAUCUAACAGGGUAACCAAAAAAAUGCCACAUGUUAGCCAUGCUAAGUGCAAGAACAGGUGAUAUUCAAUAAAAUGUUUACCAGGAGAGCGACUUGCGUUAAGACCACCAUUAGGAACCAAAAUUUCCAAUCGACCUUUUAUGGACUUGACAACCUUGCGCAGAAGAUCAUGGCGUUCUGCUAAAGUUUGGUGUAUAACACUGGUAUCUCCCACAUAAAGAAUGUCAAAAGCAACAUCUACCCAGAGUUCAUGUAAAGGAAAUCCACAUUCAUAUCCGAAAUAACACAAAACAAUAGAUAAGCACUUUAGCUGCUCAAACAUUUGUAUUCCCUGACUUAUAUGAUAUUACCUCAAGAAUAUACCAGCUCUAACUCUUUUACUACAGAACUCACUCACAACUAAGGAUACAGCACAUCUGCAUCAGAAGAGAGUACGUAAACCAAAUGACAACAAUUUCUCGAUUAUGUUAUUUUAGAAUGAGAUUUUCAAAAAGGUACCUGCCGAUCACUAUCAAGUCCCUCCUUUGCUGCCUUUGCUGCAGAAGGUGAAGAAAUUAAAGAAGAAAAAAGUUCACUCAGCAUGUCUUAGAGGAGUCAUAAAAUGGUGACAUGACAGGGAAAAAAGUACCACCCAUAACAUGUACCUAUUCCCUGAUUGGAACCAAAAUCUGCAAAACGGUUUUCAGAUGUAUCCCAGACCAACAUUUCACCAUCAAGAAUACACCUGAACAGAGUGGGGAGUCAAUACUGAAUCGUAUCCAACUAAUCUGUACAAAAGUGAAUUCAUGAAACUCAUAAAACGUGGAAAAGGAUUUGUAAACUAUAGUACAGUCCAAGAUACAAAUUCCCAUAGUAAAUGGAUGGUUGAACAAGAAUGACUGAGAGAAUAAGCUGAAAGGUCCUUAAAGCAACCAAACAAAAACAUCUUGUGUCACCUUUAGUGCCAACUAAUGUAAUAAUAAUCCAACCAUAAACUAUCAUUUUAAAAAAAAAAUUCACUUGGUAUCCAAACUAAAAGCCAUAGAAUUCACAACAAAGAGAAUCCAUUUGAGCAUGACAAACAAUGUCUACAAUAGCUAAAUAGCAAGUCAAAUCGUGAUAGGCGAUGGCAACGGUUGCAUAGAAGUUUGUUAAGAGAAUAUAUAUAUCCUUGUAGAUAAUAAAUUAGUAAGGGUAUUCUUGUAAAUAGUUUGUUAGGUUUGUACUCCUAUAAAUACUAGUUGGUCACUCAUACUACGGUGACUAGAUGUUUCCUCCCAAAAUACCGAUUCUCAUGAUAUCAGAGCAAAAGUCCUAGGGUUAGGGUUAAACAUCUAGCAAAAGUCUUGUUCAUGCGAUAUUGGUCAUCGCAUGCUGCUCACGUGAUACUGUUCAUCGGGAGGUACUGUUCUCGCAUACUAUUUAUGCGUACUGUUCAAAAGUACUGUUUAUCACGAAUUUUGACUGCUUUUUUGUUUGAAGUGCUAUUCGCUAUGGCUGAAAGUUUUGCUAAUACGGUUACCACUGACCAAACUGAAUCAAGUUCUUCAGCACAUGGGUCCCAGAAGACUUUACUAUAUCCGAGGAAGAUUAUGUUAAAUUCCUACAGUACCAAGCUACAAAUCACGCAUCUCUUCCCUCUGCUUCUUUAGCACAAAAAGGUAAUGUUAUGGCUUGUCUCUCUACAUCCUUUAAUUUUAACUCAUGGAUUAUUGGCUCCGGAGCUACUGAUCAUAUGUCAGGUACCUCUAAAAAUUUUUCUAAUUUUCAAGAGUUUACUUCCUUUCCUCAUGUUAUUUUAACUGAUGGAUCUACCACUAAAGUUAAAGGACUAAGCACUGUAGAAAUUAACCCAUCUCUUCCGCUGUCUUCUGUUCUUUACGUAUCCAAUUUGCCCUUUAAUCUAAUGUCUGUUAGUAAGCUCACUAAAUCUCUACAGUGUUCAGUUACUUUUUCUCCUGAUUUUGUUGUCAUUCAGGAUUUGAAAACAAAGAGAACGAUUGGUGGAGGGCAUGAGCAUAAUGGUCUUUAUUUUCUCAACUCCAAUGGUCCGAUUACAUGUCCUGCUACUGUUUCUCCUCUUGAAAUUCACUGUCGUUUUGGUCAUCCGUCUCUACAAAAUUUAAAAAAAUUGGUUCCUACUAUGAGUUAGUUGUUUUCGUUAGAAUGUGAGUCUUGUCAGUUAAAAAAGCAUCAUCGUGUUUCUUUUGCUCCUAGAGUCAAUAAACGAGUUUUUGAACCCUUUUUUGUUAGUUCAUUCUGAUGUUUGGGGUCCUAGUCGAGUCAUUUCAAAGUUAGAUUUUAAAUAUUUUGUAAUCUUUGUUGAUGAUUUUUCCAGAUUUACAUGGCUUUAUUUAAUAAAAGAUCAUUCAGAACUAUAUUCCAUUUUUUGUGCAUUUGUUACAGAAAUAAAGAAUCAAUUUGGUUUGCCUAACGGAAAAGAAUAUUUUUCCACUCCUUUUAAUACCUUUAUGACUAAGUCCGGUAUUAUUCAUCAGUCCUCUUGUCCUCACACUCCACAACAGAAUAGAGUUGCUGAAAGCAAAAUUAAACAUUUAAUCGAGGUUGCUCGAACACUUUUGUUGCACAUGAAUGUGCCCAAACAAUUUUGGAGUGAUGCAGUUCUAACUGCAUGUUAAUUAAUCGCAUGCCAUCUAAUAUUCUUGGAGGCCAAUUACCUCACUCCAUUCUUUUUCCUCAUGAACCUGUGUUUAAAUUACCUCCUCGUAAUUUUAGAUAUGUGUGUUUUGUUCAUCAUCUUGCUCCUGGACUGGAUAAAUAAGAUCCUCGUGCUAUUAAGUAUAUUUUCUUAGGAUACGCAUGAGCGCAAAAAGAGUAUAGAUGUUACAGUCCAGUUUUAAAUCAAUUUUUUACUUGUGUUGAUGUUACUUUCUUUGAAUCUACUCCAUAUUUUAUGAAACACGGUAUGCCUUGUGAGUUAGACCAGUGUCCCUCUUUUUCCUCUCCUAUUUUACCAGUCUCUUCCUCUUUAUUACCUGAAUUAUCUAGUCCACCAAAUUCCAUAACUUGAUUAUCUCGUCCUAAUUUUCAAGUUUAUUCUCGUCGUUCCAUGAUUGAGAAAGCUCUUGAUAUGCCACGCACUUCACCAAUUAACUCUCAAUCUUCAAAUCCAGGUAUGACGCCCUGCUCUGAGUUAGAUCUUCCUAUUGCUUUACGCAAAGGUAAGAGGCAUUGUACUUCUCAUCCUAUUUCUAAUUUUGUUUUUUAUUCUCAUCUCUCUAUGUCAUAUUCUUCUUUUGUUGCUUCACUUGAUUUUGUCUCCAUUCCUAAGUCUAUUACCCAUAUUCUUAAUCAUCCUGGUUGGAGAUUAGCUAUGCAAGAAGAAAUGUCUACUUUGAAACAAAAUGGUACUUGGGAUCUUGUCCCUCUUCCUUCUGAUAAGCCUGUUGUUGGUUGUAAAUGGGUGUACACUAUAAAAGUGCAGCCUAAUAGUUCUAUUGAUCGAUUGAAGACUCGUCUGGUAACUAAAGAAUUUACUCAGGUGUAUGGAAUUAACUACUUAGAAACAUUUUCUCCUGUUGCAAAGAUUACCUCGAUUCGUCUUCUUAUCUCUUUGGCAGCAACUUAUAAUUGGUCAUUGCAUCAGUUGGAUGUGAAAAAUGCAUUUCUACAUAGAGAUUUAGAAAAAGAGAUAUAUAUGGAACAACCUCCUGACUUUGUUGUUCAUGGGGAGAAUUCGCGGUUGGUUUGUUGUCUGAAAAAAUCCUUAUAUGAAAUAAAACAGUCUCCUAGAGCUUGGUUUAGUCGGUUUAGUAGUGUUGUCAUGGAAUUCGGUCUGACAAGAUGUGGAGUAGAUCACUCCGUAUUUUAUCGGCAUUCUAAUGCUGGUAAGAUUUUAUUAGUUGUUUAUGUGGAUGAGAUUGUGAUUAUAGGUGAUGAUGUUGUGAGGAUCCAGAAACUUAAAUCCAAUCUGCAGGCAAACUUUCAGAUAAAGAAUUUAGAUCAUUUACAGUAUUUUCUGGAUAUUGAGGUAGCUCGAUCUGAAUAUGAGAUUUAUUUAUGUCAAAGGAAAUAUGUACUCGAUAUGCUAAGUGAAAUUGGAAUGUUAGGUUGCCGACCUAUGGAUCCCAAUGUGAAAUUAGUAGGAGAUCAUGGUGCAUUACUAGAUGAUCCUAUGCAAUAUCAAAGACUUGUGGGUAAAUUAAAUUAUCUCACUGUAACGAGACCUGACAUUUCGUUUGCAGUGAGUAUCGUGAGUCAAUUUCUUGAGACCCCUCGUAUUAGUCAUUGGGAUGCUAUUAUACGGAUUCUCAGGUAUCUUAAGAGUGCUCCUAGAAAAGGGUUGCUGUAUUAAAAUCAUGGACACACUGAUAUUGAUGAUGCAGAUUGGGCUGGUUCUACCUCAGAUCGAAGAUCAAUCACAAGAUAUUGUAUGUUUGUUGGUGAAAAUUUAGUGUCGUGGAAGAGUAAGAAGCAGACAAUUGUCUCCAGAUCAAAUGCAGAAUCUGAAUACCGCGCUAUGGCUCACACGGUGUGUGAGUUGGUUUGGUUGAAGAGCAUGUUACUUGAAAUUGAGUUUGAGCAUAAACAGCCUAUGAAUUUAGUGUGUGAUAAUCAGGCAGCUGUUUAUAUUGCGUCUAAUCCAGUGUUUCAUGAAAGGACAAAACAUAUUGAAGUUGAUUGUCAUUUCAUUCGAGAGAAAUUGCUUGAUGGAGUCAUCAAGACAUCUCAUGUACCGUUUGUAGAUCAACUGGCUGAUUUGUUUACCAAGAGUUUAGGGGGCUCUAGGGUGAAAUACAUUUGUAACAAGUUGGGUGCUUAUGAUAUAUAUGAUCCAACUUGAGAGGGAGUGUUAAGAGAAUAUAAGUAUUCUUGUAGAUAAUAAAUUAGUAAGGGUAUUCUUGUAAAUAGUUUGUUAGAUUUGUACUCCUAUAAAUACUAGUUGGUCACUCAUAAUACGGUGACUAGAUGUUUUCCUCCCAAAAUAUCUAUUCUCAAAGUUAAACCUCCAAAAUUAGCCUUUUAACAGCUCAGAACACUGAUAAUCUGUACACUAGUUAGGAACUUUCUGUCACCCGGUAAGAAAAUCAAUAAUUGGUCACCAAAAAACCAAUAACUGGUUGCCAAAACGAAAUUCUUGUUCAUUUCUGCUGAGGUGCUUCCACUGUUCUUAAAAGAAGACAAUUCUUUCUCUACAACCGACUCGUAUAAGCGAAAAACCCUCAAAUCCUGAACUUUGUGCCCCCCUUUUAUUUGACAGACCAUACAGCCUGAGAACUAAGUAAAAGACAGACACAACGAAAGAACUGCAAAAUGCUUCUCUCCUAGCAAUGAUCUAAAAUCCAACUUAAAGAUCAGCACAUCAACUUCAACAAGUGGUUUUUAUUCCUCCGUACUUUAAACUUCAUGAGAAGAUCAUUGACCAUCUGCAUAAUUAACCAUUUGAUGGAGACCAUUACAGAUACUUUUUUUAAAAGCUUCUAACAGGCAGCAAAUCACACUUCAUAUCCCACAAAUCUCAGCCAAAAUAUGUUAGCUUUCACGAUGUUUGAACCUCAUAUAAUCAAGGCAACAUAUCCAGCUCGUGAUCCUUGUUAGCAUAGCAAUUCAAAUUGUAGAGUCUCAAAACCACAUAAUCAUAGGCCAAAGUCUAGAUAUUCCUUUACUUUCUCAUCAACAAUUAGACAGUUUCUUGAAAUUGCUUCGUCAUUUUCAUAAGAGUAGAAAAAGGGAAUGGAGAUGAAUUGAUGAACAGUUUGUACAAUUAUCAGUACAUGGACAACUGCUGUGUUUUGCCAAUUUUAUACAACUCAUCAGCAUAUCUCAAGAAAUCAACCAAUAACACAGCCCCACCAUUAGAAGAAGCACAAAAGCAACAGUUACUCAAUACCUACUUUUUGCAUUAACAGGUAUGUUAUUAUUUUUCUAAUACAGUAACUACGCAGAAAUUCGCCACUAACCUUAUUAACGAAACUAGGUGGAAGAAUAGCUUCCCUGUGUGGACCUCUAUGGCUGCACAAAGUGAUUAUCUGGCAGUUUCCAGCUAGUAUGUACAUGUCUUUGUAUGUAUCAAAGAUAUUGAUGAUAUAAAUGAAUGACUUUUGACCAAAAAAAAAAACAAAACUACGCAGAAAUGCACAUAACAAUAGAUAUUCUGUGAAGGAAAAAGAUGGCACUUUGAAAUAUACUUUUUUUUUCUUUUUUGGGUUUUCUCUUUUAUGGCUCACUUAACUAAUAAUGAAGGCCUUCACAUUUCACAAUCACAGAUGCAGGUGAAAAUAUUCUUACGAGUUCUUUUCAAAAGAACAGAAAAUGGCCACUAACAUAUUUAGAUGAUAUAACACUAACAAAAAUAAUCUACAAGAUGGAGAAUAAUUUUAAUAUACAUAUAUAUAAAUAUAUAUAUAUAUAUAUACACACACACACACAUUUUUCAUUCCACAGAUCAUUGUUCCUGAAAGUUCAAAAAGCAUCACCGUAACCUCUCUCUGAUAAUCAAAGUAGCAGCAAUGUAAUAACAAAUGGGUCCAUGUGUGCAACAAGCAAACAAUGAUACACAGGGUAAUAUGAAAUGAUGGAACAGUAGGAUAUAGACUCUUCGGAGCUUUUCAUACCUGUCAACCAGAAUGUUCUUUGCAAUGAUGUCUGACAUUGCAUGUUCAUACUCUGGAUGAUCAAGAAAACUUCUGCAUAGGGAUAAAAAUAAACAUCAAUGAUAUUUACCUGAAACUUACAACAAUGGACAUUAUUGGCCUGUUCAAAUGGCACUUUUCAAUGUCAUUUGCUCAACAUGGAAAGAAGGAAAUGCAAAAAGCUCAACACUUAUUGAUCCUAGGGACUGAGGCAGUCUCCAUCACUGUGCUUAAUAGAAAUGUGUGUAAUCCAAUAAGACAAAACUACCAUACAGAACAUCUGUUUUAUUUUUAACUGUAAGACAAUAAAAUCCUAAGGAUACUUGUGGAGAGCUUUAACUUGAAGGAAAACAAAACAAAACGGAAGGAAAUGGGAAAAAAAAAAUUUCUCUCCAAAAGUGGAAGAAAAGUUCAACUUAAACCUUGUAAACUUUCUUAAAAUGCGAACCUUACCCAUAAAAUGUUAACCUACAAAAUUAUAAUAGCAAAUGUCCAAAACCAUUUCUUUUCUUUCCAAAACUCCCAAUCAACUUAAGAAAAAAAAACCAUAUCUUUUCUUUUCUUUAGUAACUUAUCCCUUCUUUUCUUUUCUCCUCUCCUAAACUCCCAAACUAAGCCUAAAACUUCAAAACUGCCAGAAGCCGUUAAGUUUAAACCAAUGAAAAGAAGGAAUACAAACCCACUAGGAUAAAUUACCUAGAAAAGAAACGUAUUUCCGAGUUAUUUUUAUGAAUUUGGAUGCGAUCACCAUCAAAUUUGCAUUCGACAACAACUUCCUUCCCAUGAAGCUGUUGGAGAAAACAAUACCAAACAAAAUUCACAAAGUUAGAAAAAUCAUACGAUUAGAUUGCAAUAACAGAAGAAAUACAGAAAAGUAAGAAGGAAAUUCUAUCUUAAGACAUAAAAAAAGGUUGAGAAACGAUUGUCAGAUAUCUGGGCAUUUGAGCAUUGAGCAAACCCUAAUGCAUACACAUAUCUGUUCUAAAUAUUUGCCAAGUAUUGAAAAGCGACCUUUUUCCAUGCAGCACUAGCAUUGCUAACCCUUAGUGCUAGCUGAGGGCGCACAGGUUUUCCAACUUCUAUGUCCUUCAAAAAAGAAAUACAAAAAUGUUUAGCUAAUAUUAGCAAAUUCUUUUAAUAUUACUAAGAAAGAUACAAGAACAAAUAAAACAAGCACAUGCAAACAGAAACAUGUAUUUGCACCUAUAGUUAUUUCCAGUUCACAUGAAAACAAGAAAGGAAAGAACCAAUGAAUCCUUUUUACAUAUCCACAUGAUAAAAGAAGAUCUGAUGGUACCAUCAGCAGCUUGAUACAAAGAAGAUGAACUAACCAGUCUGAAGCUAUAAAAGACCACAACAUGCUGCACCAUGUAUCAACUACAUAUGAAAUGAAAGAAUUGGGACAAAGGGUUCUCCCAAGAUUAGAAUCUAACCUGACGCUUGUGUCGUUGACUUCGGUCCCUCAGUUUUUCACAAACUAGUUUCAAAUCACAUGUGACAUUGAACAAGUCCUCCGCAUCCGGAUGGAAUUCAUGAAAAAUGCUUUUUUCACUAAUUCCCAACUUCAGAUCUGAGCAAAGUAUAAUGCACAGGGUGUAGAGAUAACAGAAAAAAAAUUCAAUCAACACUGACUGUGGAAGACAGCAGCUAACAUAUUGAAUCAUAAAAAAUAACUAUUUAUAAAAUUCAAUUAUAACAGUAAAAGCAAAACCUUUGAGAAUUAUCAUAAUUAUCCACUUCAUUUCUUGAGCGUUUGUUCUCCUGAUCAAAUCAGAAAGAACUGAGGUUUUCUCUGCUCUGUUGCAACAAAGUUGAAAUGUCCCAUUUAUCAUCAUGAAGGUAGCGCACAAAAGUGAUAAUAGUAAUAUCAAUGCUAAAGCCAUCAACUAAAUGGAAGUAAGAUACCUUUGAAGAAUAUAAUCUAGAGAGAUUGCAUUUAGAUCCUAUUCAUUCGUGAGUGUCCCAAGAUUCAAGAGAUUUUACACUAAACUUCUAUCUAUCCAUGCAAAACAAGUAUACCCCCAAAUAAUGUGACCUCUACAUCCUCUAAGGUGAACUGUGGACCAAUUCUCACGCCCUUAUAUAAGGUAAUUAUUUUAAUCUACAAUAUUGAUGAAUGCUGGUUCCAUGCUUCACAACAACUUUUUACUUACUUUUAAACCACAAAUACCCCAUUUGUAAAUACAGUUUCCCUGAUUACUUUUUCAAAGAAUUAUUUACUUCACUUUUAUCAGCAAGCACUAUCCAGUCCUGUAACUGUAGGAGCUUUUUGCAUUGAAAUCAGUUUUUACUUCUUAUUUCUUACAUCAAUAAAUCUUGUGGAGAUUAUUCCUGUUCAAAGCCAUUCUUCAUUUGUCCAAAAACUCGGUUCACAAGCAUACCUGGAGAAACUCAAUAUUCAGUGACUUUCAACUCAAAUAAGCUCUAGCAUAAGCUUCUACUCUACACUGUCUUCACCACGCAUGACAUAUCCAAAGUCUUUUAAAAGUGAAAAAGCCAAAUCAAUUUCUACCUCAAGGGGAAAAGCACAGAAAGACGUACAAGUCGCUAUAAACUCUUCCAAGAACCAAAUGCCAUGUAAACAUGAAGCAGUAAUUAAAUUGAAUGCACAAUGUUUAAGGACUAAAAAUCUUUUCAUACCUAUUUUCACUUGAAGACAAGCGAUCAAGCUGUUCAUUUAAUUCUUUUAAAGUCAGCCCGCCAGAAGUCAAGCCUUGCCUUCUCUGUAAGACCUAUUUUGCAGACAAAACUGAUAAUCAACAAACCACACUGAUAUCUGUACAAAAUGUAUAUUCUUCUUUGGUGCACAUCAAGCAGAACACUGCAUACAAAAAUCAGUACAUGUUUCCUAAAUCACCAAAAAUAGAGCACCCGUUUUAUGAAGCGGGCGGACUAAGAUACUGAAUCACUAAACAAGCCAUGACUUCAAAAUUUUACAUGGCAUCUACAAUAACUAGAUUACAAAAUGUAGUACUCUUUUCACGUACAUAAGAUUGCAUUUUCUACAUUUUGUUCAAAAACUAGUACAGAUGUCCUCAGUGAUAAAUAACUUAAAUAUACUCCCUCCCUAUGAACCAAUCAUCCUAGCGUGCCAUUUCCAUUAAUGUUUUCUUUCAUUUAUUUGAAAACAAACGAUGCCCUUUUCACUAAUUCUCCCAAAGCAUAUGUGACACCCAUUUGUCAGCGCGCAAUUUCUGAUGGCAAUUCACGGCCAAGAUGCUGUCAUUCCAACAACUGAACGGUAAAAAUAACUUCGGAGAAAUUUUGAAAAUGUGGCAGGUCUCGCAGAUGAACUAUAGCCAUCUACCAAUUUAGCAUUGUUUCUACUGUUUUAGUGUCUACACAAACUCGAGCAAUUGCUACUGCCACAAAUUGCUGAAUCCCGAGUAAAUUCCUUCAUAAACAAACUCAAAGACAAAACGCAGGGUGGCAAAACUAAAACUUAAGUGUUCAAGUAAACCUCGGAGGCGACGAGGGAGAAGUUGCCGGCGCUGGAGCCGGUUUUGGGGCCACCUUUGCGCCAAUUAAGGAGGCGUUGGGCGUCCGGGGAGUCACGCGACAUGCCGAGGGCGUCAAUGAGGCAGGUGGCGAGCGCGUGCUCCUUGAGUCCAUACGAACCGCGCUCGCGGUCGAGCACCGGCAGAAUGAGGCGGAUGGCGCUAAAAUAGUCCCCCGGUUCCCGGCAGAAAGCAUCGAGGAAUUUGCGGAACUUGGAACGCUUCGUCGCCGAGGAUUUGCUCUUCUGCGUCCAGUUGAAUAAGGAAACCAUCACGUUGAAUUUGAUGUCCGAUUCCUCCAUUCUGGACCUUUUUUUUUCUUUUUUUUUUUUUUAGCCUUUUCUGGGCUAUGAUUUUGCUUGUUCGGGUUCUUGGGAUUUUAUGUUCAUUUUUGGUGUUUGAAAAUGAAGGGUUUAAAUAGGAACCGCCUCAACCUUGUUUGGUACCACCAGGAAGCUUGCUGAGUACAGCUGUUUUUUUUUUUUUUUGGGUCCCUCAGGUUAAUUGAUUGGUUUGACUUCUUUACUCCCCCUAUUUGCCACACUUCAGGUUUGUUUGUCCUAUGGUCAAUGGGAUAACACAGGGAUUUAAUUACAAAUCCUAUCUCAUUCCAUGUUUGAUUGCUUUUUUAAUUUUGGGAUAAUUUGACAAACCUCCCCUGAGAUUUCUGACACUUGCAUUGAGACCCUUUCAGGUUUUAAAAAUUUCACCUAGCUCCUGUGCUUUUCAAAUUUUGGUAACAAUUCAGUACAAUUAGGAUUAAAAUAUUACUAUCAUGAUAGAGAUGACAUUUUUAUUCCAUGAAUACCCUCUUCCUCUCUAUAUUAGUACAAGAUUGCAAGUUAUUAAAAAGGUUGAGAUGAUUAUCAAAGUUGAGGGGAUAUAAAUGCAAUUCAGGAAUUUUGAUGCAGUACAUGGAGACAUCUUCGGUAUGUUAACAAGAAUAGCCAACGGCAACUUGCAAUCUUCCAACGGCCAGAUUUUGUAUACCUCCAACAGUAUAUAAACAUCAGAAGUGCAAAGUAUAUCCUCAAGCCAAAAGAUUGUGAGGAGGAAGAGUUUGGGUAGAUUAAUCCUCAUUGUUUUGCAGGAGCAUUAACAGAAGGUUAUAGUGAAAACAUUUAGCAGAUCUUAUGCAUGGCCCCUUGAUCCACCAUCGAUUGCUUGAACCAAUGCAAACCGCGGAGUUUAAGCACUUUUAGCUGAGGAAGUCCAUUGCAGCAUUCUUAACUAACAGAACUUUCAAAAUUUCUGGUUAGUAAUCAAAAGUUGCAGUGGCACUGGUUAGGCAUUGAAGUAACGUGGCAUCCUUGAGCAACCAAUACCUUCUUCUCCGGGGAUGCAACGGGGCUUGCCAUCCCCAUUUUUGUGUCCAGCGUACCAUAAAAGAGCAGGACACAAGCACCCGAAACAUCAUUGGAGGCACCAUUUUGAAGCUGUUUAGAGUUGAACUGGUAUUUUGCCUGUGAUUUAGCAUGAUUUUAUUUAUUUAUUGUGAAUUUGUGCAAUGACUCUUACGGAUUGCUACAAGGAUUCGGUGACGGUGACGUGCUAUAAAGUAUCGACAAAUAAUUUUUAUUUUAAAAGGAAUUAAAAAACUUGAAAAAAAAAUUGCUGGCCAAAAUUUGUAGUAAAAACUUAAAAAUUAUUCGCAUGACCAUCAUAUGAGUAAUUAGUCAUAAUUUAUUAUAGUUACUGGCUAGAAGUAUUUUUUUUAAUUUUUAAAAUAACUAGUUGCUGGCACAUGACUCGAUUUUGACAGUAGCAUUCUAUAAAAAUCAGUUAUUAGAACUAAAUAUGCAUGAAACUAAAAUAUUUGGAACUAUAUUUAUUUUCAUCCAAAUUUUAGUAACUAAAAGCAUUCACGUUCCAAAUAUUUGGAGCCAAAAUUGUAAUUCUCCCAAGCAGUAUUUAUCUAUCAAAUUCGGCUUUGCUUCUGACCUUAUAUAUUGGGUCAAGAAUGUAGUGCCAACUUGGUAGCGUUAAUAAAAAUCCCCUGCUUCAAUGAUGCGAAUAAAUUAGUCGAAAAAAGAAAAAUCAAAGUCAAUCAUCAAAGCUUUGCACGAGCUCAACCCAUGAAAUUUUGCUUUGUGCUGCUGGGUGAGAGAUUUUGAUUGGAUAAAAAUCAUAAAAUAAAGGAAGGCACAACAACUUUGAUCCAAACUCCAAACUGAAGAUGGUUGGACAUUUGAAGAUAUAAUUAUGGACAUUUGAAGAUAUAAUUACCAAUGUGAAGAUGCAUUUGUCAUCCAAGUUAACAUUAGUCAUCUAAACCAAUCUCUAUGGGCAAAUUGGUAAUUUCGGCACUCUUCAUGUCAGCAAUGGACCCCAAUACUCUGCUAGGAGAGCUAGGUGAAAUUUUUAAAACCUAGAGGGGUCUCAGUGUAAGUGUCAGAAACCUCAGGGGAGGUUUGUGAAAUUAUCCCUUUAAUCUUUCAUAGAGAUAAAUAAUACUAUGAAGGACGAAGUAUGACUUAUUCUCGGAUGAAUAAAGGUUGAAUGGCAAUAAUUUGGACUUUUUCAUAAUAGGAAAACUGUGGGAUUUAAAAAAGAGAAAAUAGCAGGAUUAAAACCCAAAACCUCUGUGUUCUAGGGACAAGAAUUUUUUUAAUUAUAAGUAGGAGAACUCGAACCAUAAGAUCUUAUUUGGCAAAUGAGUUUUUUAAAGUGUUUGUCUAAAAUUUUACUAUAAGUUAAUGUAGAAUUUGUAGAAAAAAUAUUUAAGGUACGUAAAACUUUUUUUUUUACUUUUCUUUUUCUUUUUCCUUUCUUUUUCUUUUUCUUUCUUUCCUGUCCUUUGCUUUCCUCUCGAUCUUUCUGCUUACUCCAUUCCUCUCUUCCUUUCUCUUUCCCCUUCUCCUCCCUUCCUCCUUUUAUGCGCUCCUCUUCUCUCCGCUUCUAUUUCUUUCUUCCCCUUUUUCCACCACCCUUCCCUCGCCCUCUCUCACCUCACCCUACCUCCCCUUCUGUCUCCUCUCCCUCGCGCGACCAAAGGUCUCGCCUCCUAGUAGCACAAUCAGAUCUGGUGGCGCAGCCUCUGGUCAUGCAAGGAAAGAGGAGACAAAUGAGGAUGUGAGGUAGAGGAAGAGAGUUCUAGUGAGAGAGUGGUAAAGAGAGGGAGAGGAGGGAGGGAGGGAGGAGAAGGGAAAGAGAGGAAAUGAGAGAGAAAGGGAAAAAAAAGAGGGGAGGAAGGGUGGUGGCGCCAACCAGUACAAGAAAAGUAAUCACACCUCUUUGAAAAACCAAAAGGAAAAAGAAUGUAAUGAAAAAGAUCCAAAUUUUGUAGCAAUGUUCCAAUUGAAAUAAUUUUUUUCAAAUAGUCAAUAAAUAUAUAAUAAACCCAAUUUGUGCAACGUAUGGAGCAAAAUGUGAGCAUGUGUCCGUCGAGUUAGUAAUAGUGGAAGCAAAUUGGUAGUGUUGAAAUGAUGGAGAAGAUUGGAACUCAAGAGAUGAAAAGAGUAGAGGAGAGGGAUGAGAACAACAUCAUAAAACAGGGUCUCAAGUGAACCAAAUGGCUAAUGGAGGAGAAAAUGACUCAAAGAAUGAACUAGUGGAUCAAGGCUAAGGAAUGGAGGAAGAAGUGACGUUUGAUUAGAAAUUGGAAUAGGAGGAAAGUUGCAUAAAAUAGGGUGGGUUAGUUUGGGCAAUGUGGAGAGAAGAUGAGAGGCGGAUCUCUAUUUAUAAUAGAAAGAGAGAUAUGGAUAUAGGGAAAGGGGACGGAAAUGGUUGCUUGAGCCCAAAUGUGAGAAUCGCAACUCAAAAAUGCAGAAUACCACAACCAAAAAGGAUCAUACCCAUCAAUCCAUUCAUAUAAGCCAAUCUUAAAUGGAUUUGGUUGAUCCAUAUAAAUUCAAUGGUUUUAAAUGGAUAACCAUCUAAACCCAAUAAUGUUGGUGGAUUUAAAUGAAUUAUCCAUGUCAUCCAUACAUAUUCACUUAAUUUAAAAAAUAGAAAACACAUAUUGUGAUUGCAAAUAUUUAUAAAUAAAGUGAAAUGAAAUUUUGUGCGAUCACUUAUUCUUUCCUUCAUAACUUUCUCAUAUGUCAAGUUGCCAGUAGCAUUAGUUGCAUUUUCUCCAUUUCUAGUUUCUAGACUUCUUCAGCCUUUUUCAAAAUCAUAUUUUAGUUGCUACUCCUUUUCUUUUCUUUUUUUUUUCCAAUUCUCAUAUGGUAAUGGCCGCAAACUUGCACAUUCUUAAGUAAGGAAGAAGCAAGAAUGCAUCAUACAAUAUCAACUUGGUUUUUUUAUUUUUUAUUCUUUUAUUUAUAUAAAAGAUUUUUCUAACAAAUGUCCCCGUGAUAUUAGUUAAGAUAUGUAAUAAUACUUUUUUUUUGGAUAAAUGGAAAGUUUUGAAUUUAGAAUCUCCCACUUACAAUCCUUUCUCCCUUAUCACUCAACCCAACCUUUCAAAAAAAAAAAGACACCUAAUUUACAAAGUAAAUACAUAUACUCGUAUUUUAUUACCCCUUGUAUUUAAAUACUUUCCCAAAUAUAAUUUGCAUAACUUGGAAUGCUUGCUCUUCUGCAUCCAGUUGAAUGGGGAAACCAUCACGUUUUAUUUGAUGACUAAUUCCUCCAUUGCAGACCCUUUUUUUUUUUUUGCCUUUUAUGAGCUAUGGGUUUCCUUGUUCGGUUCUUGGGGUUUUAUGUUCUUUUUUUGUGUUUGAAAUUGAAGGGUUUAAAUAGGGAUAAAAUAAUCCUUUGCAGGCAAUAGUAUAACUUAUUCUCAUAUGAGUAAAGGUGAGAUGACAAUAAUUUGGACUUUUUUCAUAAUAGGGGAACGGUGAGAUUUAAGAAAAAGGGGAUAGUGAGAUUAGAACCAAGAACCUAUACGUUUUGGGGACAACAUUGGAAAUUUUUUGAUUCUAAGUAGGAGAGUUCGUAUCUUAGGACCCUAUUUGGCAAAUGAGUUAUUUGGGUGUUUGUCUAAAAUUUUAUUAUAAUUUACUGUAGAAUUUGUAGAAAAACUUUUUUAAGCUGUGUAAAACUUUUUUUCAAUUGCUUUUCUUUUUAUUUUGCCUUUCCUUUCUUUUUCUUUUUUUUCCCUUUUCCUUUUCUUUCUUCUCUUCUUCUUCUCCUCCACUCCACCACUGAUCUUUCUCCUUACUCCCUCCCUACUUCCAGCCAACAGCGUUGGUACCUCCGUCGAUGACCAACACUGGUAAUUCUUUUUUUUUCUUUUUUUCUUACUUGUUUCUCUCUCUCUCUCCCUCUCUCCUCUCCCCUCCUUCUCCUUUCUCAUCUCUCCCUCUUCUCCUCCCCUCUUCUCUCAUCUCUACUUCUCCUCCCCUCUUCCUUGCCAUCUCCUCCUCAUCUUUCCCUUCCCCCGCUACCCUUAGCCUCCUCUCGCACAAUCUGGUCGUACGGGAGAGAAGGAGAUGGUGAUAAAGAAAGGAGAUGGCAAGGGAGAGAGGAAAAGGGGAAAGUAAAGAGGGAAAGAGGAAAGAGAGAAAAGGAAAAAGAAAAAAGAACGCAAGCACCCAUAGAGUUGCUAACCGACGUUGGUCGAUGACAAAAGUGGUGGUGGACUAAGAUAGGGGAGGAAGAAAAAGAAAGGAAAGAUUGGAGAUUUUAUUUUUUGUGUUUUUAGAUAUUUUGAUGUGCGUAUUUUAAAAAUUUUAAAGAGCAUUUUUUAUGUUGUUGUAGUUAAAAUAGUUAAGAAAAACUUUUAGGAGAAAAUAAAAACUCGAGUUCGUUUGGAAGGUGUAUUUUUUGGGUGGUUGUAUAAAAUUUUAUUGUAACUUACUAUGAAAUUAGUAAAAUAUUUUUGCAUAUUUAGGUUGAAAAAUUCUUUUCUUUCCUUUUUCUUUUUUUCUUUUUUCUUCUCUUUCUUUUUUCAUUUGCCCUUUUUCUUCUCCCUUCUCCUAUCUCACACGCCAAACCCCUUAUUCUCCUCCCUUCCACCCUAUUGCUGGCCGACGCCUUUCCUCCCCUCAUUAUUUUUUCUUUUUUUUCUCCUCUUUCUCUCUAUCUCUCUCCUUCUUUCUCUUUUCCUUUCUCCUCUCUUCCUCUCCUCUGCUCUCUUCUCCUUCAUCUUUCUUCCCCUUCCUCUGCCACCCCUCUCUCAGCCUCUCUCACCUCACCCUAUCUCCCUCCUCUAUCUCCCUCUCCCUCAUGCAACCAAAGGCCACUCCUCCAAGUGGCAUGACUAGAUCUCAUGGCGCGGGCCUCUAGUCGCACAAGGAAAGGGGAGACAAAGAAGGAUGUGAUGCAGUGUAAGAGAGUCCGAGUAAGAGGUAGUAGAGGGAGGAAGAGGAACGAAGAAGGGAGGAGAAGGGAAAAGAGGGAGAAAGAGAGGAAAUGAGACAAAGACAAAAAAGAAGGAAAAAAAAAGGGGAGAAAAGGUGGUGGUGGCACUGGUAGAGGUGCGAGCGGCAAUGGUGAUCUAAGGUAGGGAGGAUGAGGAAGAAGAAAGGAAAGAAGAAAAAAUUUUAUGUGUUUUCAUAUAUUUCUCAAGUGUAUAAUUUAAAAAUUUUGGAAUGUUGUUAGGAAUUACUGUGGACAAAAUUAUAUAUAUAUAAAAAAAAACUUGUCUAAUAAAAGCAGGGUUAAAAUACAUGCUUCCAAGCAGACCCCUCAUUUGCCAAACAAGCCACGAAUCUCUCACUUACACUUUGUGAUACCUCCACCUCCCCCUAAGGCGUACCCAAGGGUUUGGCAGAUUGCCUGCUUAGCUUUUACCAGAACGAACUCUCAAAUCCCAAGAACAAUAAUGAUAACCUCAAUAAUAAGAACAACAACUAGUUCCAAACCGCAAUAGAUAUAUACAUUAACACCAAUUGCCCAUACAGACCCAAAAGACAACAAAAGAUUUGAGUUUACACAACAAAACCAAUAUAACGCUAAGAAUGGGUCACUAGGACACUUGACAAAAGUCUUAGACAGAAGCUCCAACCUUUGUUGACUCACACUCACGCAUAAGGAUACAGUUUGCUCACGCGAACCAGUUCAGUGGCAGCUUGUCUAGGAUCCGUUGACACUCUGCCAACCUUAGAAUACAGUAACAAUGUCCUGUAGAUCACCGCUUAACUCUAGUCUUCACCCACCGAUCAUCCCCCUCCUAGGUCCGAACACCAAAUCUAAAAUAAUAGGAAGGGUAAUACUCGAGUAUGCCAAAACCAGUGCAGUAAACAAUGAACACUACCCAUAGUUUGCAAUCUACUCGACCAAACCCUUACUGACUCAAUUCGACUAACUAGCCAAUAGAGUUUGGGAUCCCAAGCACUCAGUAUAGUCGAUGAGAUAAAAUACCCAAACGACGUUCAAGUCAUGCACAUGAACGUCAUUUCACUUAUAAACAAUGCACAGUACUUUAGUCAAGUUAGGGCAAGUACGAUAAUAUACACACUUGCCCAGCCAAAAACAAUUCAAAAGCUCAGCAUUUCAAUCAAUCAACCAUCUCAUUUCAAGUAUUUAUCAAUCUCGUCAAAAGAACAUUUCAAUCAAGCAACAAAUUCGACCAUACAUUUAGAACAUUCACCAACUUAUCAAGAUCUAUCCACUUCAGGUGCAGGUUCUCCCUCCGAACUACUCUCGAAUCCUGUGAACAUAUAUAUAGUAUAGCAAGAGUCCAUUAACUCCAAGCCACUAUAAAUGAAAACUUUAAGCUUCAAAACUUCCACUUAGACACCACACAAAUUUGUAGAUUUUAACUCCCAACAUGGCUUCCAAAAAUCACAGAGUUUGCUUGUUCAAAUCAAGGGGGAUAACCAUGUAUAUGGUAGCUCAAUGCUACAAGCAUAAUAUGAAGCAAAAAUAUGUCGAUCAUAGGCAAGAUUUUUGAAGAAAAUGUGACAAGGUUCUCGGGGUUCAAAACUGAAAAUUACCAACAAUCAAAUGGUUUGGGGAAAACUCAUUUUCUUCCUCUCAAACCUCUUUGUUUAAGAUCAAAUCCAACAUAUAUAUGAAGAUCAUGGUUUUAUCAAAUAACUCGAGCAAACAUAUGUCAAAAUCACCCUAAACUUAAAACUCAAACUCUCCCUCUCUCACUUGACCAACAAUGAAGAAUUUUCAGCAACUUGUCCCUAAGUUCCUUAUCUGAACCUCCACCUUUCAACCUUAUUUUCAUGGCAAAUAUACAAUAAAUCAAAUCUAAUAUGUUAUGAGGUGUAUAGCAUAUAUUCUUGGCAAAGAAAUCCAUCAAAAUUUCAAAAAUAUAAACUCUAAACUAAGCUAUAUACUUUAUGCACCAAAGCAAGAAAUUUAAAAUAUAACUUGAGAAAACAUGAAAUCCUUCAUAAAAGUCUUUCCUUUAGCUUCUAUAUCAUUUAUCAAAUAAACUCAAAGAUAAGGGAAAUAAGAUAGGUUUCCUAACAACUUUUAGCUCCUUACCUCCAAAACCUAGAAUGGAAAGAAAUCAAGAAAUGUUCAAAGGUUCCUUUCUCCAAGAACUCCUCCAAGAUCUUCCUUCCAAACUUGCCUCAAGGAUUGAUGGAGUGGAGUAGGUUUUCUGUCUUGUUUCCUCACUAACUUAGACAAGAACUCAAGACUAGAAGUUGAUUUUUUUCUCUCCCUCUUUCUCUCCUCCAAAAUCCAGCCGAGGCUAGCAAGAAAAGAAGAAAAUGGUGUUGAAAUGGAAGCUUGAAUGUGAUAAGAAUAAGUCUUAGUCUUGGUCAAGGUUGGGUAGCUGAUUGACAAGUGGCAAGCAUACAAGUUAAGUCUAUCUAAUUGUCUCUAAUUCACCCUAAUAUCUAUCUCUUCUCUAAUUAUCUCUUAACACCUCUUGUCACAUAAUCCCUUUUGCACAAAAUUCCCUCUUUCCAUCAUAUUUAUCUCAUACACCUCACUAGUGUGUGAGACACAAUCCAUUUGUAACAAGAAAAAGAAUGAGAAAACUCCUAGUUCCCAUUAAUUAGAUGGCCAAAAGCCCUUUACAAUGUAGAGACUUGCGAUUUAAAUAGAAAACAUAGGUAACCCUAUUCUAGCCCAAAUCCAAACUGGACAAAUAUUACAUCAUUUAUUUCUACUAAACAAAGUAAACUAAUUAUCUAAGGCCCAUUAAACUCAAAAAUUAACACAAAAGUUGGCCGUUUUAUUCACCAAAUAUACUAGAAAGCAAAUGAUAACUAAUUAGAACAAAAACAAAAAAUAUGAAAUCGAAAACAAAAAAAGCAUAGAAAAUUCGAUGAUGACGAAUUAGGGCUUUUGAUGGUAAAGAAUUAGGGUUUUCGAUGAUGAUGAAUUAGGGUUUUAAAUAAUGACAUUCCUCAAAGAUCAUUCCUUUUAAACCUUAAAUUAUGACUCGAACUGAUGCUCUGAUUGAUGCUUGUAUUUUCAUUUCACCAUCCCUCCCUCCCAUAUGUGGACUUAUUUACCUCUAUUACUGGAACAAUAUUUUAUUCUAACAAUUAUAUUACUCUCUCGCUAUAAUAUAAUCUAAAUUUGGGACUAAUUUGCUCAUAUUAAUGACAUAACAAAAUUUUGGAUAAAUUUGCCCCUACGAAUAAAAAAUAAAAUUUUGGUCUUACUUGUCCAUAUUGAUGAAAUAACUUAAUUUUGGACGGAUUUGCUCAUACUAUUAACAAAACUCAUUUUUUUAUUCAUUUGCCCAUAUCAAUGAAAUAGCUAAAGUUUUGGACAAAUUUGUUCCCUACUAAUGAAAGUUUUAUGUUUUGGACUAAUUAACCCAUAUUAAUGAAAUAACUAAAUUACAGACUAAUUUACUCCUACUGUUAAUAAAAUUAAUUUUUUGACUAAUUUUCCCCUGUUAACAAUUUUAGAUUGAUUUACCCCUACUAAAACCAAAACUAAAUUUUGUACAAAUUAUAAAAGGUUUGAUAUGUUAAUUGAGACUUGUGAGUUUGGAUCAAUCUUGAACUAAGUUCAAAACUGCAAUAUAUUUAUAAUCCGAGAAUGGUCUCAUUGUAUUAGCUCAAAACCAAAAAUUCAAAAUUUCUACCUUUUAUAAGCCAAGUUUGAGUUUACCAAAGCCCAAUUAACACUUCUAAUUGUUAGUUUUACAAAAAAAAAAGUAAUUUGGUCUAUAACCAUGUAAUCACACCAAAUCCUAUUUCUAGCCAAACACACGAUGAUAUUAUUUCUUAAGACAUCCUAUCUAAUAUAAAACUAACCAAACGUUGGAUAACAAUAUUACUCAUCGAAGAAUGACUCAACCUAGGAUGAAUAGUCCAAAUACUAGUAAUCCACUCUCAUCCAAUCCGUGAACCAAAUGCAUCCUCCAUGUAUGAUCAGGUAAUGACAGGUGACAAUAUUAAGACCAAUUACUUGAACACAGCCAUUCGGUUGUAAAAGUGAAAUAAGGAUGGAACCAUAGUUAUUAAACCCGACCCGGCGGUCGAACCGGUGGAACCGGUGACCGGCCAUCAGACCAGACCGGGUUUCUAAAAUGACCAGACAAGGAAUUAACCCGCUAGAAACCGUCAGUACCCGCGGUUGAACCGGAAAAUCGGAGACCCUGCCGAAUUUAUCAAAACCCGGUGGGUUAGAAAAAAAAAGAGUCAACUGACUCAAAUAGUCAAAUUGACCGUUGGCUACUUGGCUUAAGCAAUUUAUCUUUGGAUUCUUGUCUGAAUAUUGAGUCUUGACUCUUGAGACUCUUGACCGUUGACUAUAAGUCAAGGAAAAUAGGGCAGCAAGUUCUUAACAUAUGAAAGUAGAGCCACAGAGACUCAAGCCGCAAAUUCCUUUCUAACUUCUCUUCUCCAUCUAAUGCUUAAUGUUUUCGCCAUUUUCAAGCUUGCAAACAUAGACAGAUAGACUUCAAAAUUCUUUCUUAAUCUUUGCCUUUCUCAUUCUCCUAAGUCUUAUCAACUUUGGCAAGCAUUAAUUUUGCAGCUGCUGUUCAUCACAUUUUUCAUACAUAAAGUUCUAAUUUUCUCUAUCUAAUUUCAUCUUAUAUUUAUGUGAUUCUUUUUUUGGUUGGUUGUUGAAUUAUUCCUUAACUCAUAACUUUAGAUGUAUCUACUUAAAUGGGUUCUUUUUUUGGAACCUAUUAGGUGUUUGUGAAAAUGUCUGUUAGGAAAAUUUUUAGUAACAAUAGUUGAACCUCUUUAGGAAUUUCCUCUCAGCCUCGUUUGCUAGCAUCUAGCAUGUUUUAUUUUUAACAUUAAAAUCAUGACCUAAACGGAUGCUAAAAAAAACAGUUUUACAUAUAUUAUGGUUCCGACUAGCAUUAGAAGCUAUAAGUUGGGAACUUGAAUGGUUUCUUUUAACAGUUUCUUACCAACAAUGAAAACAAUGUUGAAGGAAAUGAAUUUAAUCAAAACUGCAUAGAUGAUCCAACUCGAGGGGGUUAUGAAUUUGGUAGUAGUUGGUGUAAGGAUCGAAGACAACCAAGUGGAAGAGAUAAGCAAUGUAGAGAUCACAAAUGUAACAAUAAGUAAAUAAAAAAGAAAGAAUUACAAACCAAUUAACUACCCAACUCCUCUUGAACUUGUAGAUUAAUUCAAACAAGUUUCUUCAAGUUGAUGAAUUACAAUCACUCUUGUAUACAAAGGAAGGUUCUUCUCCUCUUUGCCCUGAACUCCACUCCGUCAAAUUAGGAAGUUUUACUAUCUCGCAGGACAACCCUCACAGAGCUACACUCAUGAAGCAUUCACUCACAAAUGAAAAACUUACAAUGAACCUCACACCACUAAAACUACAAAUCUUCCUUGGAGAGUGUUUUCUCACUAAAACUACUCUAGAUCUUUUGUAUCUUCAGUGUGCAAAAAUUGUUUGAAGAUUUUGACCAUACUCUAUUUAUAGGAGACCAACAAAGUGAUUCAUUAAUGCUUCCAAUGGAUAGAAAGUAGUUGAACAGUCAACUAGCCGUUGAAGUAUCGGACGUCCGGUACUCCUAUUUUUUGCGUCCGACAGCAGGCAGUAAGUUUGAGAAAUUUUCUUCAAUUCUAUCGGACAUCCGGUGCAAGCUCUUUGUGCGUCCUACAGCAAACAAAGAGAUUUGAUAAAUCAUCUUGUUUCUAUCGGACGUCCGGUGGAGACAUAUUUAGCGUCUGAUGGUUUCGUCGACUUUGAAGGAUCCUAUCGGACGUCCGAUGCUUGCGUCCGAUCGAGGUCAGUGAGUCAGGGGAAAUAUCUUAUUUCCUUCGGGCGUCCGGUGGUAGAGUUUUUUAUGCAUCCGAAGUUGCGCAAUAAUUGUCGGACGUCCAAUCCAAGCAUCCGACAGCUUUCAGCAGCCUUUGUCAGUUUCAAUUGCACUUGAUCUUUAAAUCUGAUUUGCUUCAUAACUGAAAAUAUUUCUUGAAGAGACAUUAGCACUAUCCAUUGUUUUGUAAACAUUAAAAGAUAGGGAUCAAUAUUAACAUUCUCCCCCUUUUUGAUGAUGACAAAACAAACGGAUGGAAGAAGAAAUAAUUGAGCCAUAAGCUCCCCCUCACUCAAUGCAUCAAAAAAGUUUUUAAGUGCCAAACUUAUAAUCUCAGAAAACUCUCCCUUUCACAUAGCAUCCAUUUCUCCCCUUUUUGUCAUCAUAAAAUGAGAGUAAAAAUCAGCAAUAAUAAUCCAGCAACAAUAAUAGAGAGUCCAGUAUUUCAGAGAAAUGAUAUUAGAAUUCAACAAUCACCAACAUACCAACAUAUCACAGAGAGUUGCUAUCAAAAAAAGUAUCAAACAGAGAAAUAAAAGAAGUAUCAAACAGAGAAAUAACUAUCAAAAUAAUUAUCAAAGCAAAUCAUCAUUAGAUCAGUAUCAUUCAUUUCUCCUUUUUGUCAUUGUAAAAACUCAGUAAUAUCCAAAAAUAUCAAGAAAAACUCAGUUCAAAGCAUAAGAAACAUCAAAAGAAAAUUACAAACGAAUAUUAUGAACAAGAAUCUCAUCAAUCUUACCAAUAUCUCCUACUUGUUAGAGUUAGUAUCAUGUCUAACUAUCCACAUGCAUUUCAUGCAUCUUCUCAUAUUUUUUUUCACAUAACAAUCACUUUUCAUGUGAUCUUUUUGACAACAAAAAUUACACAUAACCAAAGGAUUGUUUACAUGAACAGAUUUAAUAAAUCUUACUUGUCUUCUCCUAUAAAUAGUAAAUUCAUUUGCACCAAAAUUUAACUUCUUCUCAUAAGUGCCAAAAUGAGCCUUUGAUUUAUUACCUUGAAAAUAAUCUUGUUUUUUAUGUUGGAACAAUUCAUUUAAAUUAUCCAUUCUUCUUUUCAAAUCACCUUGUUCCUUUUUGAACAUUUCACAAAAUCUUGUUUUUCUAUCAAGUUCAAAAUGUAAAACAGUCACACUCUUUUUUAAGAAAUCACUUUCAGUUUUUAGUUUUUUGUUUUCUUGAAAAAGACGUGCAUUGUCCUGAAGAAAAAAGUCAAUUUUAUGUUUUAAUUCCUUAUUUCUAACAUAAGAUUCUUUUAAACUAUCAUGCAAUUUUAUAAUGAAAGAUUCAAGAUCAUCAUCAGUUUUAUCAUCACUUUCAAAUUGAGAGUUAGAAGAUGUUAUCUCAUCAUCUCCAAUGGCCAUAAAAGCCAAUUGAACAGAUUUUUUUUCCUCUUCAAUUUCACUAUCGGAGUUGAACUCAUUCCAUGUGAAUUGAAAGUUGUUGAAUCUUGAUUUUCUUCCUUCUUUCUUCUUCAUCAUUGGACACUCACCCACGUAGUGUCCAGGUUGGUCGCAUUCAAAGCAUUUAUCAGUUUGCUUUUUAUUGUACUCUUACUUUCAUUUGUUUCUUGUGUUGCUGAAUUGAUUUGGGAAUAAGUUGCUGUUUCCUCCUUUUCUGAACCUUCGUUUGUUGAGGAUUCUCUUAAAACUUUUUGUGAUGAGAGGUAGAUCACUGUCGUCAACUUCUGCAUCUUCUUCAUCUGGGGAGGCAAAAUCAUCUUCAUCUUGAGAUGCCUUUAGAACAAUGCACCUUCUUACUUUCACAUCCUCUUCCUCUUGCACUUUGGACUUAAGUUUUAACUUAUAAGAGGUUAGAGAAUUAAUAAAAUAUUCAAUAGGUAAGGAAUUUAUAUCUCUAACUUUUUCAAUGUCAGUCACUUUACUCUCCCAAUCCUUGGACAAGGCAUUCAAAAUUUUUCUGUUUUUCUCACCUAGGAAGUAUUCAUUUUCCAACACCUCUAAAUCCUUAAUGAAGUCAUUGAAUUUACAAUACAUCUUAUCAAUGUUUUCAUGAGGUUCCAUCUUGAAUGAUUCAUACUUGGUAAUCAGAAUAAACUUUUUUUGUUCUCUCAUAUUUUCACCCCCUUCAUGAAUUUCUCUUAGUUUAUCUCAAAUCUCUUUAGCUGACAUGCAACCCUUGACUCUAAUAGAUUUAUUUGAGUCUAAAGCACAAUAUAACACAUUCAUGGUUUUUGCAUUUAAGGUGAGAUGAGUUCUAUCCAUGGCAGUCAGUUCACUUCUUGUUUUUUGUCUAGAUCUAUGAAUAUUUUCAUCUAUAAGAGAGACAUCAUAUGGACCUUCACUAAUAAUAAACCACAAUUCAAUAUCAAUUGAUUGCAAAAAGAUAAUCAUUCAUUCUUUCCAACUCACAUAAUUUGACCCAUUAAAUAUAGGUGGUUUAAUGACAGAAUGUCCUUCAAAAAAUAUGGCAUUAUUGGUUGUCAUUUUUACUCCUAAGCCGAUUGAACUUAAUCUUAAGGAGACCAUGCUCUGAUACCAAUUGUAAGGAUAAAAAACAACCAAGUGGAAGAGAUAAGCAAUGUAAAGAUCACAAAUGUAACAAUAAGUAAAUAAAAAGGAAAGAAUUGCAAAUUAAUUAACUACCCAACUCCUCUUGAGCUUGCAGAUUAAUUCAAAUAAGUUUCUUCAAAUUGAUGAAUUACAAUCACUCUUGUGUACAAAGGAAGGUUCAACUCCUCCUUGCCCGAACUCCACUCGGUCAAGUUAGGAAGUUUUACUAUCCCACAGGACAACCCUCACAGAGCUACACUCAUGAAGCAUUCACUUACAAAUGAAAAACUUACAAUGAAUCUCACACCACUAAGACUACAAAUCUUCCUUGGAGAGUGUUUUCUCACUAAAACUAUUUUAGAUCUUUUGUAUUUUCAGUGUGCAAAAGUUGUUUGAAGAUUCUGACCAUACUCUAUUUAUAGGAGACCAACAAAGUGCUUCAUUAAUACUUCCAACGGAUAGAAAGUAGCUGAACAGUCAACUAGCCGUUGGAAUAUCGGACGUCCGGUACUCCUGUUUUUUGCGUCCGACAACAAGCAGUAAGUUUGAGAAAUUUUCUUCAAUUCUAUCGGACGUCCAGUGCAAGCUCUUUGUGCGUCCUACAGCAAACAAAGAGAUUUGAGAAAUCAUCUUGUUUCUAUCGGACGUCCGGUGGAGACAUAUUUAGCGUCCGAUGGUUUCGUCGACUUUGAUGGAUCCUAUCGGACGUUCGAUGCUUGCGUCUGAUCGAGGUCAGUGAGUCAGGGGAAAUACCUUAUUUCCUUCGAACGUCCGGUAGUAGAGUUUUUUAUGCGUCCGAAGUUGCGCAAUGAUUGUCGGACGUCCAAUCCAAGCAUCCGACAGCUUUCAACAACCUUUGUCACUUUCAAUUGCACUUGAUCUUUAAAUCUGAUUUGCUUCAUAACUGAAAAUAUUUCUUGAAAAGACAUUAGUAUUAUCCAUUGUUUUGUAAACAUCAAAAGAUAGGGAUCAAGAUCAACAUCACCAUCACGAAUCCAUGAAGCAACAACUAUCAAAAGAUCAAAUGAAUAAGAAAUAGCCACCUAAACCGGAAAAAAAACUUGGCUUCAUCUAAGCCUUUGUUCUUAGGGUUUUAAUUGGUUUUGUUUCAUUUAAAAAACUAAAAGAGAGUCUUCAGGGUAACGGGAGAAAGAUUAGGAAAGCGGCAACCACAACAGAAAACCCGAAAACAGAGAAACGAGGGGAGAAAGAAAAGAAGAACAACAUUUUUUCUACAAAAAAAAUCUGGAAACAAGUUGGUGUACCAGCUCUCUUCCAAUUCAAUUUUAUCUGUUGUUAUUGAUCGAAUUGAGAUGAUUCUUUCUUUUGUAUCUUCUAGGGAUAUAGGUGAAUAACUUUCGUGUUGAAAAUUUUCGCAGAAAGCCAUUAGAAAUUCCUCAAAUCGCAGCCCAAACUUUGCUCGUCGAAACUGUUUCUACAAAAAUUUGGUUCAGGGCUAACCAGAUAGCCCCCUUCAUCUGUGUUUUUCGACUUCAUCUGAACUCCGAUUGGUAUGAUCUUUGCUUUUGCAUCAUUUAAGCUUGUAGGAGAGCAACUCUUGUUUUGAAAAUUUCAUGGAAAAACCUCUUUAAGCCCUUCGAAUUCAAGCCCGAAUUUGCCAGUUCGUUAGCUCUUGAACUUUUGCAACAAGAUUUUUUUUUUAACUUCGUUUCCGGAAUCUGUGAACGUUUUCUCGCAAUUUCCUGCAUCUACUUGAGUUCAACAACAUCCUUAGCUAACCAUAGCUUCUUUCCUUGGUUGAUUUAACGUUAGUUAUGUAAUUUUAAGUCAUUUCACUAGUUUUCAUAAGUUUACAUCUUAGAUCUCAUUUUCUCAAGAUUUAUGAUAUUUACUGGGCAUGUUUGAUGUUUAAAUGAACUCAUGUGGAUGUGGGGAGCAUUGUAUAUCAAGAUCCGACCUUAAAUCCCCUAAGAAAUGGAUUUUAGCGGGAUUCCAAUCAUGUUGGCCGAAAAUUUUUCAGAUUCCCGCCGGAAUCAUCAUCCUCUUUCUUCUAUUAUUUUUUCUCAUUUUUCUUGUUUUAUUUUGUUAUGUUUUGAUCCUUUAAAAUGUUUGGAUUGUUGUUAUUUGUGUUAUUGGCUAAAAUUUGGGUCAGAAAAUUAUUUUAUUAUAGGGUCGUAGUAAAAAACUAUUAGAUUGGGGUGUUAUUUUGUUUGGGUUUAUGAAGUUCAAGCCCAAUAGUUUUAUUAUAUUGAGUUUGUAAAAAUAAAUUGGGAUGGCUUUUUUUAAAAAUAAGAUAAUUCAUUCCUUCCUUCGGGUUGAGAUGGUGGCCCAAAUGCUUAAGAAAUGACCCAACAUGGUUUUCAUGUAAUCAGAAACAAACUUUUGCAUUUGGCCCUUGAUCUUCUGAAUAUUUUUAAUGUGGUUCUAAAAUUUUGAAUUUCUUUCACUUAGAUCCUUAAUUUAAUUACAGUUUGGUCCCUGAACUUUUUUAUUUUGAUCCCUAAUCUAGUUAAGAAUUAUAAUUUGACCCCAACAACCUCUCAAUUUUUGUAAUUAGGUCCCUGAUCUUUAUUAUUUCUUAAUUACAAUUGUUUAUCUUCUUUGAAUUGUUAAUCAUGUUCAUUUGAAUGCAUCUAAUUUAUAAAUUUUAGAAAUUUUAUGUUUAUUCAUAUAAUAAAGUGAAUUUGCCAUAUGUUUACAUUUUUUUUAAAAUUAUUAAGGAUCCGUUUAGAUUAACUGUUUUUGGGGUAUUUUUAAAAAAAUUUACUGUAGCAGAGUAUAUAGGGUAUAUUUUGGGAUAUUUUUAGAAAAUAUUUUCUAAUAUUUAAGAGUAGUAGAGUUUUUAAAAUAUAUUUUGGAAUAUUUUUUAAACAUUAAAAAAAAUUUAGAUUACUUUUUAGAGUACUUUUUAAAAAUUUUUAUUUGAAAAACUGAAGGAUCCAAACAGAGCCUAAUUAAAUUGGUACCUUGACCAUUUUGUUGGUUUUGGAGUAUAAAUUGAGUAAACUCUGCCUCAUUUUACCAUUGUUUCAAGGGAGGUAUCCUCUAUUAUCUUUAAGUUCUUUUUAUCUGCCUCCUAUGUGUUUUUUUUUUUUAUGUGUGGUUGCAUGUUUUAAGUGUCUUUUCUUUUCUUUUAUUCAUUUUUUAGCUUUUAUUUAUAUUAUUUAGUUUUGAUGAUUAUUUGGAAGGCAUUUAAAUGCCAAAUUGUAAUAUAUAGGUUUUACCCUUUUGCCCAAGAAAAAUAUAUUUAGAUAGGUGAUAUAAUAGAUAGUUUUUUUUUUCAAAAUAUGUAUUUAGUUAGAUAAAUGUAAUAGAUAGGUUUAUUAUUUUCAAAAAAUUCCUUUUUAGAUUAUAGUUAGGGUUCCCAAAUGUAAUAGUUAGGUUUUAUUUGCUUGCAUGCUUGUAUGUUUAUGUAUUUACAUGUUUACUUGCUUUUUCUAAGAUUUUGCAUCUACAUAUUAUACCUAUGUGCUACGUGAUCUAUGUGCUUUAUAUAUUUAUUUACUUUAAUUAUGUUCUAUAUGUUUUAUUUAUUUAUAAUGAAUGCAUGACGUCACCAUACUAGUCCAAUGUUAGUUGUCCCAAUUUCUCAAUAGUUCAAUGCUAGUGAGGACUUGUAGAAAUGGGUUAAUCUAAUGUUAGACUUUUAAGACCAUUUUCGCGAUAGAUUCAUAUCUCGUGUGACAUUUAUUGCAUUUCAUACAUUUUUUUCAUUUUAGGUUAUUUCCAUUUGCAUGAUAUAUCCUUUUAUUCCCUUACCCUUUAUAUGUUUGAACCAUAUCAUUUAGAAUUACAUCUCAUUCUAGGAAAUUAGACUUAAGCUAAUUUAUUUGCUUGACUAAAUUAGAAGAGUCACCAUUCAAAUAUGGGAGAUGAACGAGUAUGACUUUUUUUAGCCUAAGCACGCUUCUACUUCUCUCUACAAUAAGGAAAAUUUAGUCACGAAUAUUAGCUCCCCGUACUCGUUAUAUUGCAUAUCUCAUUUUUAGGACAUGUAUAUUUAUCUAUAUAACAUAAUUUUCUUUUUUUUGAGUCUUUUUUUUUGCAUAUUCGUGACCUAUUCAAGGGAUCAUUUUUAGGGUUCACAAUUAAUGUGAUUUGCACCAAUUAAAUUUCGAAAAGACAUUUCGUUUAUCUCAAUACCCCUUAGGUCUAGGUUUGCAUCCAUAUAGAACUAUCCAAAUGUGAUAAGUUUUAUAGAUUAGGUUAGAAAAUUUUUUUUGACUAAAUCUUGCAAUUAGCCUUGAUUGGAUUGAAAGGGUGGCUUAAAUCAAAAUUUUUGCCUUCCUUUUCUUCAACCGUGACUCCCAAACUCUUUUCUUUUGUUUUCGAAGACCUGAGUCGUCUAAAAGGGUUUUAUUUACUUCUUUUCAUUUUCAAACAUUUUGGGUGACUUGAUACACCUAAAUUCGAUACCAAGUGGCGACUCUAUUUUUUUUUCUAAAAAAUCCUUUUUAGGCCAUUAUUUUAGGGCCAAGCCGUCGCAUAUUCUAAGUCCAAUUUUAGGCCCCUGUUCUUUAUUUUCUAAAAUUAAAAACUCAUUUUUCUAACACCUUUUUCUAUUUUAUUUUCAAAAAUGGGGCGCGACAGAGAUAAUUCUCAAAAUUGGCUAUGAAAACAUAAUAAGUACUUCUUGAACCAUGAAGUACCUAAAACUUAGAAAUUGGAAGUAGUAGAGUUGUUUUUGGAAGGAAAAUCUGAUAAGUAGUUCUGAGGAAUUAGGCUGGGAAAACCAAAAUUAUCAUGGGGGGAAUUUAGGGGAUUACUAGGCAAAGGGUUUGAUGAUAAAAUAUGUCGAGAUGUGGUGGAGAAAUUUAACAAGCUCCAACAAUUAGGAAAGGAAAAGGAAUAUCAGUAAAAGUUUGAAGAACUUAAACCCUUGAUACUGAUGAGAAACCCCAAUUUAGACAAGGAAUAUUUCAUAUCCAACUUUGUUAGUGGCCUAAAUGAGAAAAUCAAGCCUAUGAUCAAAAUGCUGAAAUUAGAAAAAUCUAUCUUAUGCCUAUGAAAUGGCCUAGUUGCAAGAACACUCCCUCAAAAUUCAAGGAAAGAGUUUGAAGGAAGCACCCAAGAGUAAUAUGGAGAAUAAAUUUGGAAUACAUAGGAGCUCAGUUCCAUAGUCAGCUAGCAACAAUUAUUACAAAAUUCCUUCAAUUAUCUCUAAGAAACCCAAUAUAGAAAACAGUGGAACCAAGAAGAUUACGGCCCAAGAAAAUCAAUUCAGAAGGAAUACUGGACUAUGUUUCAAGUGUGGGGAGGAGUAUGGUAUAGGUCACUAAAGCAGAAUAUGGCAUUUGAACUUUAUGUUAAGUACAGAAGAAGAUUAAGACUUUGAAUUUGAGAUGCUUUGGGGGAACAAGAUGAUCAAAUAGGGAAUCUAGGGCAAGUAAUGGAUAUGUCCCUACAUGCUUUGUCAGAUGCACUUAAAAGAAAAACUAUCACUUUAAUUGGAAAUCUAGCAGGAGUGUAAGUACUUAUAUUAAUGGACAUUGGAAGUUCUGACAGUUACAUCAGAAGUGAACUAGCGAUUGCCUUGGAUAUGCCACAUAAAAUAAUUAACUCCUCUGCAAUAAUUAUGGGAAUGGAACUUGUGUCAGCAGUAUUGCUAUUUGUCCAAGGGUGGUUUGGAAAAUCAAACAACAUAGAUUUAGUUUUGACUUGAGAGUUAUAGAGCUUGAAGGAUGGGACAUUAUCUUAGGAGUAGACCGAAUGACUCAUUUUAGUCUUAUUAUUUUUUAUUUCCAUCAACUAAGUAUUUCCAUGUACAACUAAGCGGAGACAAUCCAAUUACAAGGCCAUGCAGAGUACUGUCAUCUAGACUUAAUUAAUAAGAGGAAAAGAUUUGAGUCAUUCUAUUGAAUAUAAAAAGAGGUGUAUGGGCAUGAGUGUAAAAAAAAAGGGUGAGCAAGAAGAAUCACACCCAAAGGAAAUUAAAGAGUUGUUGGAAAAUUUUCUAAAGUAUUCCAUACUCCUUUUUUAUUUCCACCCACCAAGACAAUGUAUCAUGAGAUUCCACUUAAACUAGGGGUUCAACCUUUCAAGUUAAAACCUUACAGAUAUCCUCACUCACAAAAAGGAGAAAUUGAAAGGCAAGUCACUGAGAUGCUACAAAAUGGCAUGACGAAGCAUAGCAACAUUCCAUUUGCUUCACCAAUUCUUCUAGUUAAAAAGAAAGAAGGAACCUUUGUGAAAACCCUAGAAAAUUUUGUGUAAGUUUUGCAUAUAUUAUUUUCAUUUUUGCUAUUAGAAAUAAUAAUUGGUCUAUUAAAUAUCUAAAUUUAAAUUUUACAACAAAAUCAAGAAUUUAUAAAUACUUUGUAGUGGUGUAAAAAUAUACAUAACAAAAGUUAGGGGUUCAUGCAAGAGAUUAUAAAAAUUUCAGGCCUUGGAGAGCAAUUCAAUUACAAUUAAAAGACCAAACUAACCCUUCAAUUCAGCAAAUUCACCAUGCGACCAUUAGCUAUCAGAUUAUUUGAAGCAAGAGUUGAGUGGAGAGCUUCGGUAUUAGCAAUCACCCACUGAUGAAGCUUUGUGUGAUCAGUCACUUAGUUAUUAUCGACUGAGAGUUACAAAAGAAGAGAAGUGAGAGCAACUGAAACUUCUUUCUCAUCUUCAUUUCCGAAGCUGUGCGAAAGAGUGAGAGUGAAGGAGCAAUUCUGGUGCCUUCCAGCCACAACCGAGUGAGUGAUAAGAGGAGGAAGUCUGGAGUGAUCACCGAGAGAAGGAAUGAGAACCGAAAGCAGGCUUCACCAUUUCUUCAUCCUUUUAUCAUCCUAAACCGAGAGCUAAGUGAGUGAAAGAGGAGAAACCAGCUUGCAACUUCAGAUAUCAGCUGCAACUGUGAGGAAAAUAGUUGGAGCAAGAGCUAGAGGAACCGAAACAGAGGAAGUUGGAGUAAUCUGCCAUUAUCGAACUUAAGGGGAAAAGAGGUAAGAAUCUAGUAAACACCCUUUCAUUUCUUGAAUAUAACUAAAUAUAUGGGCUGCAUGUUAGUUUUAGCAUGGAACAAUAAGUUUUAACUGAGGAGAAAUCUGAUAAAGGAGAGAAAAAUUGGAGCUGGACCGAAAUGGAGGGAACCGAGAGUGGUUGUUGGGUUGCAGCUCACAAAUGAAGUAAAUUUGCAGUAAUAACCUCUUAGUCAUUCAGUAUACUUGAAUAUUAAGGUUGCAUGUUGGAUUUUAGCUAAGAAAAAAUAAGUUUGGUUGAAGGGAAAAUCUGGUUUAGAGAUUGGUUACUUGCUGGAAAUUUUUCCAGUUGGUCCGAAAGAAAAAAAAACUGAAUGCGCAGUACUAACUGGAAGUAUGGAGUAACUUUCUACUAGAAGCUUUAACCAAAUGUUAUUUCCUUGCCUUGCCUGAGUACUAGAGCAGAGUUGAUAGCUUGAGUGAAAACUUUGCAAAGAUUGGUUGGUAGUUUCUGUCUAGCUAGCCGAGAGAGGAAACAAAGAAUUUUACAGAUUUCUUGACAGAUUACAGGGUCCAAAUUCCUACGUUGAAACUUAAUACCUUGCAUAAUACUUCCGUCUCAGCUUGCAUGUUGGAAUUGAGUGGGAAAUGAAGUAGUUAAUGGAGAAAUCUGUGUAUUAAGAGCUGAGUUGCGGCAAAAACUUCUCCAGCAUGGCCGAGAGAGGGAGUUAAACCUCUGAUCAGCUUUCCCUUCGAAGUUUAACUGUAAAAUUUAAUACUUGCUGUUCAAGAUUACUUUGUAGCUUGCUAAUUAUGUUUUGCAUGUUGAGUUGAAGUUAAAACUGAAGAAAAUGUGAAGAAAGAACCGAAUCUUUAAACUGUCUUAUGGCUGGAAGAUUAGUUAGCAGAUGACGGAAUUAUUUUGAGGUUCAUGGUGGAAUUACUUGUUGAAAUGGUGGGUUAUCUGCUAUAGUUUAGGUUGGUUAGAUGAUAUGUUGAGUGAUUGGUGUUUAAGCAAGUAGACCAUGAAGCUUUAUUGAACAUCUUGCAUUGAUAUUGCUGGAAAUCUUACUUGAUGGCCAAAACAGUGAAGAGUUGGGUUUUCUAUAAACUUUCGAAAAUUCUAGGCUAGUUGUUGUAAUAAUAUAUAUACAUAUAUAUAAAACAGUUUGUAACAUCUUGAUCUUGUUUUGAAUACUUUAAAGAACUUAAAACAUGAAGGGCUAGUGAAGUGGAACAAAUAAGACUAGUAUGAAAUUCAUAAAUAACCUAGAGUUUAGUUAGUUUUAAAAAGGAAAAAAAUAGAGUAGCCAUAAGCCAUAAUUAAUACUGGACUGAGAAGGUAUAUUGGUUUGAACGUUAUACAAGUUUAUAACUUGAAGAUAAGUAUGUUUCAUGGUUUAAAAAAAUAAUAAAGUUGAUGGGUUUCGAAAAUAAAAGGGAGAAUAAAUAUUGAGAAGGUUAAAUUUGUAUUCUAAGGUCAAACUUGAUUUUAAUAGGCUUAAAUAAAAGAAUAAUAAAUGAUCGUCUACAAAUGAUAUAUUUACCUUGAAAUUAUUAAUUUGUACCAGGAAGUAGCCGUGAACCAGGAAACCAACUCGAGACUCGAGAGUAGUCAUUUGAAUCUUUGGUGAGUGUUGUCCAAUGUAUAUGUUUAACUAUUUAUGUGUAUCUAAGUGAAGUUAUGUGAUAAAUGUGCUUAUCAUGAAUUAUUACUAAAUGAUUCCUUGUGAAGUGUAUCUCAAUUGUCCCUCGCCUUCUAAGUCGAAGGUAUACUUUAUCGCACUCGGCUUAGUUGAGCUUAAAGGUCGAUAAUUGACUGAAUGUUACUGUAACUGUGCAUGAAUGUAAGCCGUAUGUGUGCCUCGCUGCAUCGGCUGAACUGGGGCCCAAAACCCUCUGUUCAACGGACUAUUCGAGCUAGCAAAAAGGCUUGGUCGGGUAGGACGGUAGCUUUGGGUAAAUGUUUCGGUAUACUAGAGUAUUGCCAUGAGGUUGGGAGAUUAUUGAACUGAUUAUUGAAUGUAGGGGAUUGUUUAUUGUUUUGGAGGACAUAAGGAGGUGACCGAAUGUACAAUGAUAUUGAAAUGAAUGUACAAGACAGUGAAAUGAGUGUCUCUUGACACUGAAAUGAAUGCUCAAUCAAAUUGAAGUGGCUCUAAUGCGAGCACCGUAUCCUUUUAAAAGUGAUUGUUAGUGAAAUGUUUCCUCAAUUGCUUAAUGAAAGUGAUUGUACAGUGCAAUGUGCACUACUUGCUUAAUUGUAAUGAUUUAAGUGUUUAUUAAAUGUUAAUUGCUCGGCAAACCUCACUGGGCUUUAGCUCAACCCGUUAAUUUUGUUUUCCUUACAGGAGUUGGAGAUUGAAGAGUGAUUGGAUUGAAUUAGGAAGUGAUUUUGGGAAGAUCCAUCACUGUGUGUAUAUAUUGUAGUCAGGGUUUCUUUUGUAUUUUGAGAUAGUUGAAUCUUUUACCUUGAGUUUAGUGUAAUAUUAAGAAUGAAUGUUUAGAACAGGUACUUUGUCUCUUUUAUCGGUCAAAUUUAUGUUUCAAACUGAUCAGAGUUGUACUUAAGAGUGAAUGUUCAGUUGUUCAAUGGUAAUGUUAUCUCUGAAGUUAAUGUGAGUGAGUGAGUCCUGGCGAGAGUCAGGCGGGCAGUCCGCUAUCUUCUAGGGUACGCCCUAGGAGAAGGUGGGGUCGUCACAACCUUGAAAUUCUAUAUAGAUUAUAGGAAGCUGAAUGAAAUUACCAUCAAGGAUAGAUAUCCUAUCCCAAAUGUGGAUGAGCAGCUGAAUUAGUUACUUGAGUCUAGAUUCCUGCACAAACUUGAUUUAACUGCUGGAAGUCAUCAAAUUGGAGUGAAGACAAGAUGUGCCAAAAACUGCAUUCUAGACUCACUGUAGACAUUAUGAAUUUCUGGUCAUGCUUUUGGCUUGAUCAAUGCUCCAGCAACUUUCCAAUCCUUGAUAAAUCAGGUUUUUCAACUGUACUUAAGAAAGUUUGCACUAGUUUUUUUUUUUAUGACAUCUUGGUUUAUAGUCCAACAUGGGAAUUGCAUAUACAACAUAUGACAUUAGUGUUGACUAUUCUUAACAAGAAUCAGUUGUUUGCAAAGAAGUCUAAGUGCUCUUUUGCUCAACUGAAAAUAGACUAUUUGGGACAUACAAUAUCUAUUGAAAGGGUCAGUAUAGAUCAAUCUAAGAUAGAAUGUAUCUUGACAUGGCUAGUACCUCAGACAGUUAAGGAACUAAGAGGUUUCCUAGGUUUGACAAGUUGUUACAUAAGACUUAGGAAGGAUUUCACAAACCUGCCCUAAGUUUUGGCUUAAUAUCACUUGGCACCUCUAUAGUUUAAAAAAUAUCUCUUGCCUCCCCUGCCAAAUUGACAAGAUGACUUCAUUAUAGAUGGUAAAUUGACGAUAUUACCCUACCAUAAACCCAUAAUUGAUUAACUAAACUUCACACAUAAAAACAAAAUUUAGAAAGUAAAAAAAAUCAGGACAACAAUUAAUAAAACUACCAUUUAAAAUGGCAACUUUUUUUUGCCCUAUAGAAAUGAAAGAUAGGAAACUUCUAACACUACUAUUACCUAACACAUCAAAAGCGCAUCAAAUAGACAUUAAAAAAAUAUAGUUUAUUUGGAUUUCUUUUGCUUUUUGAAAUCCUAAUUGUUGUGUUCUUAUUAUAACCAUAAUAUUGAUUCUUUAUAUUAAAUGAUGUUGGUGAAUUAUGAAAGUUCUUUCUAAUGUUAGAACUUGUUAUAAUUUGUUAUAAUAUCUUCUUCCAAUUUCCUCUUUAAGUUCCUCCUUUUAUUGCUAAACUUGUGUUUCUUAUUUUGUUAUCUUAUUGCCUUUAUAAUCCUAGAAUUAUUGGAAUACUAGUCAUUGCCUAAUUGUAAAACUACUUAUUUGCUACAACAUCUCUUUAUUGCACUUAUACCUCUCUCAAUUUUAUUCUUUUUUUUAGUAGGUUUAUUUUGGUAUUGAUUGCUACUCUAAUAUUUAUAUAAAGGACAACAAAAGGGCACAUAUGGAAGUAAAUUGUGUUAUCUCUCCUCUUCUAUGAGUUUUUUAAUCCACAAGGGCUAACAAUUACAAACAUGUCAAUUAAGAUGAGGUAAGAGAGAGAUUUGAAACCACAAGGGUUCUGAGUGAUAUAAGGCAACUUUUAGGGGAGAUUUGUGAAAUUAUUCCUAAGAUUUAUCAAAAACUAUGGCCUCAAUUGCAAAUCCCUAACUGACUUAUUAAAAAAUGAUGGAUUCCUUUGGAAUGAAUAUGCUCAGUUGGGCAUUUGACACCCUUAAAAGGUUGAUAAGUACUGCUCUUGUUCUGAAAUAGCCAAAUUUCCAAAAACCUUUCAUUAUUGAAACUGAUGCUAGUGGUGGGGGCAUAGGGGUAGUACUAAUGCAAGAUGGUCACCUUAUAGCCUUCUUAAGCAAAUCCUUGUCUACAAAGAAUCUAGGAUGAUCUGUAUAUGAAAAGGGGUUAUUGGCACUAGUGAUAGAAGUCACCAAAUAGAGGCACUACCUGGUUGGUUAUCACUUCAUAUAUAAUAGAACUGAUCAUCAAUCCUUAAUGUACCUUCCGGACCAAAAAUUAACUACUACCCUACAACACGUGUUUGGCCAAGCUUCUAUAGCUUGACUGUGAGAUAUAGUAUAAAAAAGGAGUUGAUAAUAUGGUAGGAGCUGAUAAUAUGGUAGUAAAUGCACUCUCAAGAAGGAGUGUGAGCACAAAAAAUGAACCGGGAGUAGAGACUCGGGAGUGAUUUGCUCUAUGUUCUGUUAAACCAAUGUGCAUGGAAGAGAUAAUUAGGAGUUAUGAAACAUAUAAUCACUGUCAAGACAUUAUUGCACAAUUGUCAUUAGACCUUGCUUUACAACCAUCAUAUUAGUUUACUAAAGGAAUACUCAAACACUAAGGGAAAAUCUACGUUGGGGUGCAAAUGGGAUCAAAUUGCAGCUUAUCAAAGCUCUUCACUCUUCUGCUAUUGGUGGACAUUCUGGUCAAAGAGGAUGUUGGCAAAGGAUUAAAGCACUAUUCUACUAGCCAAAUCUCAAACAAGAAUGUCAUUAACUAUGUGCAAGCCUGUGACACAAGUCAAAGAAACAAAGUUGAACAUGUUUCGAGUUGACUUGCCCGAGUCAUAACUGGAACGGAAGCUAUCAGUACGAUACCGACACUCGAGUCACCGUUUGAUCGGGAUCAUAGUUAACUCAAGUUGACUCGGUCGGUAUUGAUCGAGUCAACUCAGAUCAACAAGAAAUCGGCAAAACUCGCCGAGUUUGGCCGAGUCAAAUAACCAAAGUCCUGGACGACAAACAAAUCAAUCACAAGCAAAGUCCAAAAACAAUCGAUUAGCAUAGACAUAGAUAGGCAGAGAGUUUAGCUUCGAGUUCCAAUAAAUUCUCCCUCCCUACUGCUAGGAAGCAAGUAUUCUAAACAAAUAUUUCAUCACCUGGACUUCAGAGAAUGCCAACUCUGGCUAGUAAUCAAGUUUUUUCAUUAAUCUCUACUGAUAGAUCCAAGAGCCUUUUGUACUUGAGGCCAUUUUGUAAAAAAAUUUCUGGUUGUGGGAUCCGUCUUACAAUUAAGUGCUGCUACUCGGGCUAGGAUUUACAGUGAAUCAACUUCUAAAGCAUUGUGGUGAAUACCCACAAAUCGAGUGGGAAAGUGGGUUUUGAGGAGGAUAGUAAAUGGAUGGAAAAGUAGAGUUAGGGAUGCAGGAAAAGAAGAGAUGCAGAUCAAUUGGAGAAGAUGAGAACCUUUUUUCGGAUGGAAAGAAAGACGAGGAUGUUUUUAUGUGGGGAUUGGUUUUAGGCUUAAUUACAAAGUACCCCCUGUAAUUAUGAAUCAGUAGCAAAUUUCCCCUUAUAUUUACAAAAAAAAAUUUGCUUUUAAUACUAUAAAUCAAUAAUUAGAGUAGCAUCACUUUCUUUAAAUACUUACCUACUAUUUAUGUUAACAUAGAUUUGAAAACAUAGGUUUUUUCAAAUUUAAUCUGAUAGUUGUACUGGUUAUAGUAUUUUUUAUUUUUAGUAAUUUUUCUAAAUUUUUUAAAAAGCUUUAUAUGUUCUAACUUGCGUAUCACCCGAUAUUUAACCGAUAUGUCACGACGGAUGUGAAACAACCGCGACCGCGACCCGUGACGACGAACCAUGGUCACAACCUUUUUUAUUCCUAUUCCCAAACAAGCUUGGACACACAUCACCUUGGAUUUUAUUGAAAAGUUGCCCAGAUCACAAGGUUUUGACACAAUAUUAGUGAUAGUAGACCUUGACACAUCUUUUUACUGCAAACAAGUGGCUCAAUUAUUCAUUGACCCAUAUAGACUGCACGGAAUUCCUGAGUCUACUGUGUCAGACAGGGACAAAAUUUUCACUAAUCAUGUCUUGAGAGAACUAUUCAAGUUGGUGGGAGUUAGCUUACUUUACAACUUAACCUAUCAUCCACAAUCAAAUGAAUAGAGUGAAAGAUUGAACCAAUGUGUGAAAGUUUAUCUAAGGUGCAUGACUGGAGAAUUUCCUACAUAGUAGAGUAAAUGGAUUUCAUUAGCUGAGUGGUGUUAUAAUUCCACUUACCACUCUAGUCUUAAACUCACUCCUUUUGAAGCCUUGUAUAGGUGCAAAUCUAUACCAUUUCCCACGGGACCUCACUUGGAUUCAAUAAUCCCAGCAGUAGCUCAAUUAGUGGAGGAAAGAAUUAGAAUUUCUACAAGCAUUAAAGAACAUUUGGCACAAGCUCAGCAAAGGAUGAAGUUUUUUGCAUAUCAAUAGAGGACAGAGAGGUCUUUUGAAUUUGGAGAACGGAUUUUUCUAAGGAUCCAGCCCUACAAAUAGCAGAUUGUUGCUAUUAGGAAGCAUCUAAGCUAGCUGCCAAAUUCUAUGGACCAUUUCAGAUUAAGGAAAAGGUGAGAUUCGUAGCCUAUAAGCUCAAGCUGCCUCAAGGAGCAAAAAUACAUCCAGUUUUUUACGUGUCUUUGUUUAAGAAGCUAGGACCAUUGUAGCAAGUCACCACUACUUUGCCAGAACUGGACAUGCAGGAUCAAUGUCCUAUACAGCCUGAAUCAGUACUCAAGAGAAGGGCAACCAGUCAUAUAGUACUUAAUCAAAUGGGACCAUAUGGGAUUUGAAGAUGCCUCCUGGGAAGACAAGGAUUUCAUUGAACAUCAAUUUCCUCAGUUCCAUCCUGGUGACAAGACUGUUUUUGAGAGGAAGUCAAUGUUAGGACCAGUUAUUUAAACACAGUUAUUUUGGUUGUAAAAAUGAAAUAACUAUGGGAUAGUGUUGUUUUGUUAAAUGAGUUAAGAAGGAUUAAUGUUGAUUAGUUAUAAAAGAAAGAAUCUGAUUGAUCGUAAAGGCAUCUAAUGAAUAACAACUUGGAUUUCUUCCUGUUUCUCUCUCCUUUCUCAUCUGCAUUUCUCUUUCCUUUUCCUGACUAAACUUUCUUUCUUUUAAUUAAUUCAUAUCAUAGCCCUUAAAUCAGAAAUCACCACUGGUUCCCGACAGACAAUAGUGUAGACACUAACACAGCAAAAUAAGAUAACACAAUAACAUUUUUGACACAUUAAAAUUGGUGUCCUGUAUUUAAACUCCACCAUCAAACUUAAAAAUACUCCACCCUGGGGAGCCACCAUUGUGACAACAAAGAACCCUGAUCCGUUUAUGUGAGAGUUCUUAUUGCUUGGAUAUGGUAAACAAUUUGAAAACAAUUUAAUAAUUUUAAAACACAAUAAAGGGAGAAUAUGUUUAGCACCUCUAGAAAUAACUAGGUGAUAUUGGCCGAUCAACCACUAUUAACAUAAUUAGACAUGACCACCAUUUUAGAACCAUUUUUUAUCACACGGUUCAAUUAAGAUUUUUUUCAGUUAGGAGUGUCAAUUAGGUCUAGUAAUUCGGAUUUUGACAAAUCCAAACUUAGUUUACAGAAGAAAUAGGGCUUUUGAGCUUUCGGCCUUUAGACUUAGGCUCACUGCUAUAAAGCUCAUGCUGCAGUCACAGAAUUAUUAGGGUUCGAGAUAAAAUUGGGUUCAGCUCAAACUCAAAAUUUAAUAGAUAAUUAUAUGCAAUAUAUUAUUAAUAUUUGUGUAGUAUUAAUAGAUCAUCUAUAAAUAAUUAUUUUUUGAUUAUCUAUAAAUUAUUAAAAUUUUAAGUUAUAAUAUGCAUAAUUAUAGAUUAUAUUUAUUAUUAUAUAUGUUAUAUAUACUUAAAUAUACAAUUACUCGAGUCAAGUUUUAAUCGGGUUAAACCUAAUAAAGUCUAGAUUCAGCUCAUAAUUAAUUUAGAUCUAAUAUUUAGACCCAAACUAUAAGGGUCGAAUUUGGAUUGACCCAACCCCAUUGACAGUUUUAGAUUGGAUGAAGGAAAAAAAAUUAAUUCUAGUAUAAAUAAUGUAAUGAAUUCAGAAAAAAGAAAAGAAAAAAGGAUAAUGAACUUAUAUUAAGGAAAAAAUAGAAAAGGCAAUUAAUUUAAAAGAAAAGUAAAACUGUUAUGCUACAAAGAAAAGAUAAUACAUAGAAAAGUGUGGAAAAGUAACUUAUACCAUUCAUUUUAUUAACUCUACAGAAAAGAUAAUACAAAGUGUAGAAAAGUAACUCGUACCAUUCGUUCUUAUUAACUCAUACUAUUCAUUCUUAUUAACUCGUACAAAGUGUAAAAAGAUGCUUAAUUCCUCACCCCCCCCCCCCUCUCCUCCUUCUCUUUCCCCUGUCUUUGCCGUCUCUGAGAAACAGGCAUUACAUCUGAAUAUCUUAUUAUGGGCAGAAAAAAACUUUUAUAACAGAUAUUUGUCACUUCGCCAACAUUUUUGCCAAUAUAUCGCCAAAAAAUCUCUAUAUCCGGACAGCGACUGGAGAACUUUCUGAACAGCGGACAUUAGGAUUAAUUUGGGGAAGACCGCAAUUGAAAUGGCCGAUAACAACUGAUAUUGAACAACCUAAGGAGAGAGCAUGUUACAUAAACUACAUCUGUAUUUGAGACGAAUGAAGCUAUUCUCCGAGCAGUACAGUUUUUACCAAACAUGCAUAAGACAAAUGGAGGCAGCAGCAUCCACAAACAAAUCCAGUUAGAACUACAGCUGCCAUUACCCUAAACUAUGCGUUUAGGUAUGCAGGCCAAUGGCAUAUGAUGGAUAGAUGGACUUGACCUGGGGCUCUUGGUAGAAACUUGUAGGUCAAAGUUACGUCAUCAAUGGCAAACACAACUGAAAUUCCUCCUUCUGAAUAUUCAGAAUUUAGAGAAUCCCUGCAUGAGCAGCAGGAAAAAAUUUUUGGCAUAGGAGAAAUUAGGAGAGAUUGCAUGCAUGGUUUAAUAGAAGAGACAGUUACUUCGGUUAAUUGGCUCAGAGACAGAAGGUAAAGAGCUAAUCUGGUCCUGAAAUUUUAGAUUUCACAAAAGAACAGUAACCAAAAAUUAUUGUUUUGGUUAACCAUACAACACUAGCAUAUAUGCUAAAGUCUAUUAAGUUCAUAUUCGGUCCUCCAGCAAUCUUUGAUACACUUUCACAGUUAUCAGCAUCUUCCUCGUUCCAUGUUACUUUGAGCAUGGUGAUCAAAAAGUUGAACCGUUGAAUCCGAAGUAUG